rnacentral:lncRNA from 1 species
CUUAACACGGUCUGGGCCAUACCAUGGGCUGCCAGAUGAGGCAGGCUUGGAGGCAGCCUUUCUCAUGGAGAUCCUUCCAUUUCCAGAGAUUUCUGAGGCAGAGGGUGAGAGUUUCACUGCCUGUCCAGCAAAAGAAGGGGAAGAAAGAGCCAUUGUAGAAGCUGCCAUGGCUUAUCAAGAGAAAAGUGAGUGUUUGAUGGUAUGAAAUAUUGUUGAAUUUGGCUGUGAUGAAACUGAAGUCAGCUGGGUUUCAGAAUAUAUAGCAAGUAAGAGGAAAAGGGUCCUUAUCUAGUGAUAUCUAUAUCUAUGAUCUCAUUGGGUAUCAAGAUUACUCUUCACUCACACUUGGCAGUCUUAAAUCCAUCAACUUUUCCAAGAUUUUUACAAGGGGGACCCAACCAAUGUUGUCCGCCCAUGUGUGGUUACAAGGAUUGCACUCUAUCUUGUGAACUUACAAUAUGAAUACGAUGCCUUCCCAUUGGACACCUAAGCUCGCCAGAUUUCUGUCCACCAGCAGGAUAAAAGACUCCUACUGUCUCUACAGCUAGCUCGUUCAAUGUAGGACCACACGAUAUUUUUCAUACAUCUAUUGUCCCUGGUUUUAGAGUUUAGUAUUUAGCUAAAUAAGAGAAGGGACAAAAUGAGAUUUAUUAUUAUUUGAAUUAUAAAUUAUGGGAAAUUAAAUUGCAUGCUUAAUUAUAGUUGCAAAAAAGCAAUGAGAUAAUUAACUGGUAACAUUUUGCUUCUUUACUAGUGAGUGAAAAAGGGAAAGAAAAUACAAUUAAAGAAAAUGGGAAGAACUCGGUGAUUAUAGUUGGCAUAAUUCUGGCUAUAGAUAAGAUUUUUUAAAACAUAGAUCCAUGUAUAUAUAUUUGUUAGUUUAUCUCAUGGUCAUGGAGAGGCAUUGUGUUCAACAGUUCAACUAUUUUCUGGCCAUGCUCAUGUAGUUAUUGCACUAAUCCACUACCAUAGGCUAGAAUUUUCAAGGCUUUGGCAUAAAAAUCUGCAGAGUUUUUCGAACGAGAAAUUAAGGUAAUUUAUGAGGCUGCAAACAAUAUCUGUUUGUUGUUAUUGUCCGUAUGUGCGCGUUUAUAUAGCUCAGAUAUUGUUCAUGUGUUUAAAGAAUGAAUAUAAGCUGAUCUGGUCUUCAAAUUCAAGUUUUAAGUUUUUAAUUAGUAAAAGCAAGCGGAUUCACGUGUAAAAUUUGGGGUUGUCCGUACACCUGUUUACUUCGUGAAAGUAUACUUAGUUCAAGUCCAACAAACCACAAAAUGAAUUAUGUUAUGAUUCUAGUUUAGUUUAUAUUUAUUAAGAUAUGGCGAAGCACGGAAGCAGUAUGUGGGCAACACUGCUUCGACAAACACGCAUUCGGCAUCCGCCUCUAGUGGUGCUAUCAUCUUCGAAUCCUGAAUUCACUUCAGACAAAGAUUCAUCCAUUAGCAUCUUUUUAGCUUUAUGACACCUGUCCUUUUAAUAGAGUUAGUAUAGAUUUAAUUAAAAUACCCUCUAAAGCAUGAUUAAGACACAAAAUUAUCACAACAACUAAAAUGUUGCUAGAUUUUUAAUCAGAUUGACAAAUAAAGGGAAGAGGAUUAAAAAUGCCUCUCUACUUUGAUAAGCUGAUUAAAUUUAUCUCUCUUUGUAUUAUUGGAUCAAAUAUAUUCCCGUUGUUAUAUUAUAGGAUAAAAUAUACCCUGUCAUUAGCAAAGUUAUCAAGAAUAUUUUUUUUUUAACAGUUCUCCACCAUGGCAAAGUGAGAGCCCCGUGUCAUCAAAUGGAUGCCACGAGAUAUGCCACCUUAACAUUUUUUUUUCCUUUUUCCUUUUAAAUUUUUUGCUUCAAAUUUUAUUAAUUAUUUUUAAAAAAAUGAUAAUUUAAAUACUCACAUAUUUUAUUUAUUUAAAAUAAAAUAACUGUAAUUAUUAAUAAAUGUUGCUAUCUCUCUUCACCAACAGAAGAGAACCACCACCAAAGGCGGCCGAAGGAAAGGAUGUUCCACAUAUCGAAAUGUAAAGAGCAAAAGCGGCAAAUUUAAAAAUUGAGGUGUUGGAAAAGGUGGUGGAUUUUGAAAAGUCCGACGAAGAGGUGUCGAAAUGGGGGUUAAGGUUUGCAAAAUGCUAAGAACAGUUAACACUGCCAUGAAUAUUUUACUACUAGUGAUAGUUAUUAGUCUUUAUUCGUGUGUGUUAAAUACUUACAUAUUUUAUUUGUUUUAAAAAUUUGAUAAAUUAAAUAACUAAGUAAAUAAAAUUUAAAGCAAAAAUUAAAAUGAAGAAAGAAAAACAUUUGAUGUUGUGGUGGCAUGCCACGUGAUAUACACCUCAUCUAAAUGUCAGGUCACAUGGCUCAUACUUUGUCAUGGUGGAGAAGUGUUAAAAAAAAAAUUAAUAACUUGAGAAAAUUAGGUGGGAAGUGACAAAAAAGUCGUUAAAUUAAAAAUGAUGAUAACUUUGACCAACUAAGGUUGAAGCUUCAUUUAAAUUCUGAUUAAGUUAAUUGGAGCGUAAUUUUUAAAAACUUUUUAAUUUUUUUAAAAGGGUAACUUACAUAAAUCCCUGAAUCUUUAAGUGAUAUUACAUAAAAUCUCGAUUAUUUUGCUAAUUACAUCUUAUCUCGAAUUUUUGAAAUGGUGAUACAUAUAUUAAGUGGUGAUACAUAUAAAAAAAGUGAUACAUAUGAAAUAGAUCAGUUCUUUAUUUAAGGAAGUAACGGAUUUUCUCUGAUUUCAACAAUGCAAAUCACGACAAAACUGUUACAAGCGCUAAAAACGCAAUUACAUUCAACAAGAGCUCAAAAUUGAAGCAAACCAAUAUUUUUUAAAGCAUACCGGAUUAUAAGGUCAAUUUUUUUGAAUUUUGGGGAAAAAAUCGAUCGUCUUUCUAAAAUUUCUGAUUAUUUUCAAUGGAACUCGUGACAGUGUUGUUGCGUCAUUCCGAAAAAUGAGUUUCAAAAAUAAGGUACGAUAACUAUCGAGUCAAUGGUAUUGUAAUUCAUGAAAAAAUAUCGUACCACGAUUUAAUGGACGUCAUAUCAAUUCAAUUGAAAAUUAACGUAUCUCUGAAAAGAAUUCAUGUCAAAUACGUUGUUCAGGACAAUUUAUCAGCAUUGGAGAUUCAUAAUGAUAUGGUUGUGAAACUUUUUUUCAGAUUUUAAAAGCUGAAACUAUAUUCGGGAAGUAUCCAUUGUGUAUUACAACGAGUGAUAUCGUAACUGACCAUGAUGAUUUUGACGCGGAUGAUAUGACAAUUGAGUGUUAUGAUUUUGUUGAGCCGUCUGAACUUGCAGUAGUUGUAAUUGGUAACGUUGAAUCCCUGCCAGUUGUGAAUAUGGGUGGUGAAGAACUAAUAAGUGAUUGCUACAACAGUGUUGUAAAGGUGAACUAAAAGUAUAAAAACAAAGCUACACUUGUCUUGGUAAUGCGUAACUAUGCAAUCAAGCACAGGUUCAAGUUCAAAGCUGAGAGAUCUAACAAGCAAAGGAUUGAUUUUAAUUUUUUAACGAUAAUUUCUGAUUUAUUUCGCAAUUUGAUACAUUCGGAAUUUGUAGUGAUACAUUUGCAUAAUAGUUAAUUGAUGAUUCAUAUAAUUGGUGAUUAACUAAUGAUUCAUUCCAUCUAAGGAUUCAUAUGUCAACGAAACUGGUGAUUAAUUGGUGAUUCAUAUAUCCGGUGAUUCAUAUAACUGGUUAUUCAUAUUAGUAAUGCAUAUAACCGGUGUUUCAUAUAAUUGGUGAUUCAAAUAACUGGUUCAUGUAAUUGGUGAUUCACAUUCGUGAUGCAUAUAAAUGGUGUUUCAUAUAAUUGGUGAUUCAUAUAACUGAUUUAUAUAACUGGUGAUUCAUAUAUGUGAUGAAUAUAACUUGUGAUUUAUAUUGGUGAUGCAUAUAAAUGGUGUUUCAUAUAACUGAUUCUUAUAACUGGUUAUUCAUAUUGGUGAUGCAUAUAACUGGUUAUUCACAUGUUAAAUGGCUUAAAUUUUGAUAUAACUGGUGAUUCAUAUGGUAUUUGCUGAUUCAUAUAAAAAUCGAUUAACGUAACUUUAUAUUGGUGAUAUAUUUUUUGGCAUUUAUUUCAGUUAUGUCUUGCUGUGCAAAUCUCCGGAAUGUUGUUGGUUAUUCAAGGCAUCCUAUAAGCUUAGUACUGAUACAUUCAUAGUACGUACGUUCAACGAUGAACACACUUGUCCCAUAAUGGGUAGAGUUUUUGAGCAACAACAUGUAACAAUUGCUUUUUUAGAGGGAAUAACAGCUCCAAAGUUGGUGAAUCACAAAAGAAUAAUCACCCCAAGUGACAUUAUUGAAGAUAUUAAAAGGGAACUUGCUUUGAACAUAGAUUACAUGAAGGCGUGGUGUGCUAAAGAACGUGCUUUAAGGAUAUUGAGAGGGCGACCAGCUGACGGAUAUAAGAAAAUGCCUACCUACGUAUACAUGUUAAAUUCUGUUUAUCCAAAUUCAAAUAUAAGGAUGCAUAAGUCUUCGGAUAAUUGAUUCAUGUAUUUAUUCGUAGCACUGCAUUCUUUUAUUAGGGGAUAUGGUUAUUGUAGGCUUGUUGUGGUAGUAGACGGUAGUCACAUGAAUGGACCAUAUAAGAAAACAUUCAUUUCAGCUAGCACACUUUAUGGAGCGGGUAUUGUACGUAGUGAUUCUUUUAUAUUUUUCUUACAGAUAUCGGUAAUUGUUAUAUAAAUUUUACAUAGUAAAUGGUUGAUGUUAUAUAUCAGGACAUAUAUUGCCCCUUGUGUGAGGGGUUGUAGAUUCUGAGAAUGAUUCAUCCUGGACGUGGUUUUUCCAGCAUUUUAAGUGUGCUUUCGAUGAGCGCGAUAAUAUGUGUGUUGUCUCUGAUAGACAUGAAAGCAUAAUCAAGGCGGUUAGUGUGGUCUAUUGCACGAAUUAUAGAAAGAGUAAGGACAAGCUGACCAGGGAGUUUUUCGCCAUGGCUAAAACGUACAAAUUGGAUGAUUUUGAUGACUUUAUGUGGAAAUUGGGAAAGAUUGACAAUAGAGUAAAGGUAUAUCUGAAAAAUGCUGGAUUUGAAAAGUGGUCACGAGUUCAUGCUCCAAUAAAUAGGGGGAGGAUGAUGACUUCCAACAUUGCAGAAUGUAUCAACUCUCGUCUUGUUGAGGUACAUGAAUUACCAAUUUUAGAUUUUCUUAAACAGGUCAGAAUCUUAUUUGAUAUGUGGAGCCGCAAAAAUAGAGACUGGUCUAGUUUUCUUGCUAAAAACUCAUUGGGAGGUAGGUUUCAACAAAUUCUUCAACUGAACAAGGCAAAGUCAUCGGGUAUGAUGGUAAGUUAUUUAAUAUUUAUUAUACUUAUGUAAGUUGAUUUGUAGACCUUUUCAACUAUCUGAUAACAGAUGUAUCAUAGUGAUACAUCUCGAACUCAUAUGUAUCACUUUGAUACAUCUGCACAAAUAUGCCUCCACUUGAAAUCUAGUUCAUUAUAUUUAAUUAUCUGUAAUAUUUAUGAUUCAUAUAAUAUAUUGAUUAACAUAACUCUUUAUGAAAUAAUAUUUUCAAAUUAGGGAAUCAACUAACUACAUAUACAGAGUGUAUGAAGAAGGAAGAAAAUACAUUGUUCGGUUGGAUAAUGGAACAUGCAAUUGCGGUAGAUUUCAGCUUGAUGAGAUACCAUGCAUGCACGCUAUUGCUUUUUUGAAAAGCAAACAUGUAAAGAAAAUGAAGUCAUACUGUUAUGAUUGCUACAAGAAGGAGACACUUGUGAAGACUUAUGAAAUGCCACUGUGUUCAAUGCCCGAUAAACGAGAUUGACAUGUACUACCGAAGGUGUUAGAAGAUGUGAUUUUGCCUCCAAAAUAUAAGCGCCAACCAGGAAGACCGAAGAAAGGAAGAAAAAAGAAAAACAGUGAAAAUUUUUCAUCAACCUUAAAUCGUUAUGGCAAGUGUGGGUAUGAGGGUCAUAAUAGACGCACUUGCAAUUUUUUUCAAUAGAGAUGUGGCAUUUUUCUUUGAAGUUUACUCAGACUUGUUUACUUUGUUCAAUGAUUUGAAUUCAAUAAUUUGAGUUAAAUACUCAAAAAUUUAUUGCUUGAGAUACUCUGUUUACAAUGGAUAGAGAAAUAUUUAUUUUAAGAUCACUAUUAAUAAUUAAUUAAAACUAUUAUAUUCAGCAGAUAUGUUAGAGUUCAUGAGGAAUGUUAGUGAUACAUUUCCUACAUGAAAUUAUAAAGUGAUACUUAUUAAAAAAUUUAAUAUUGUUAUAUGAUUCAUAUUAACUGUUCGAGAAAAUUAUAUGAUUUAUAUUAGUAAUUAAACUGAAUAGGUUAAUUGGUGAUAUAUUUUCAAAAUAUUGUUUUAAGUUGAUUCAGUAUUAAAAAUUUAAUACUUUUAUAGGACUUUUUAUUAACCGUUCGUUAAAGAUAUGUGGUUCAUAUUAUUAAUUAAGCUCAACAGGUUAAUUGGUGAUAUAUUUUCAACAUAUUUUUUUAAGUUGAUAUAUAUUAAAAAUUUUAAUACUGUUAUAUGAUUCAUAUUAACCGUUCGAGAAAAUUAUGUGAUUCAUAUUAGUAAUUAAAUUGAACAGAUUAAUUGGUGAUACAUUUUCGACAUGUUGUUUUCAGUUGAUUCAGUAUUAAAAGUUUUAAUACUGUUAUAUGAUUUAUAUUUACCGUUCGUCAAAGUAAUGUGCUUCAUAUUAGUGAUGCGUGAUUUAUUGUUAAGACUAUUAAACAAAAUUAAUGAUACAUUUUUGUAAAUUAAACUUCCAGCAACAGUUCUAAUACCACACCAGCUGUUAAAUAAAAUGUCAUGACACUAAAAACAAAAAUACUGAAAACUUAAUACAUAAAAUACGUCAUGAAAUAUCAAGAAAUCCCCAACCAUUUGUCAACUAAGAAAAAAAUCAAUAUCCUUUUGUCACACAACAAAUACUAGACAACUACGACUCAACAUCAAUCAUCUUUGUAUCCUCAUAUGGAAUAAAUAUACGUUUAGAUCCAGGCGAAUCCUGAUUGUCACUAACAUAUUUAUUGCAUGCCUGGUUCACACCAUAAUCCCAUAAAAAGGAUGUAUAUCUUGUAUGAUGCUUUUCUGGAUCAAAAUCUGAAGAAGGUAUUUGAUGUCGAUCACUUAGAUAUUCAGCAUAUGUUGCAACAAACAAGCCACAAUCACUGAAAAAUAAAAAUAAUAUGUAUUUUAUGAAUUUCUGUGAGCUGUUAUGUAAAAGAAUAAAUGAUACUUACAAUGUGCCGCUCGAUUGUUGCACAAUUUCAUCAACAAAUUGAACAUCAAAUGCAUCCUGGUCUGUCUUUUCCUUGUAUGCUUCUAGUAGGGACCAAUCUGUACGCUUUUUUUUCCCACAAAAAUCGGAUAUUGUCAAAUAAGUUGACAACAUUUCAACAAGCUCAUUUAUCUCAUCACCAUGACCUCUAUGGCCUUUCAAGGAGUCAUACACACGAAUGCAUCUUUCCUUGAGUCCUAUGACUGCCAACACCCAGUGAAACGAUCCCUUAGAAUUUAUUAGAACAUACACCUCGUCAAUCAAAUGCCAUGAAAUACUGAUUGGAAUGCAUAGUCCUUGAAUAAUCUCACAAAUUGAUCUCUCCAUCGAAGUCACUUUAUUUGAUCGAACAUUUUCGUCAUGUGAGCUAAGAUCAAUAUCCGAAUGACUUCGGUGAUAAUGAGUGUAUGUUUCAUGGAUGUAGUUUAUGAACAUGCAAUUCACAGUGGUAUAUCUAUAUUCACUGAUUUUGUCCAGUUUUGCUUUCUUUAUAAGAUAGUAAAAUACCAUAUCGAUGUGUUGUAAUAUAAAAUUAAAAUGUGUAAGAACAUGUGAUUCAUAAAAUCCAUACACAAUACUAAGUGUAAAACAAUUGAUACUUAUGAAUUUAAAAAACAUCGACUGAAAAAUACUUAAAAAUAUAAAUUUAUGUUGGUUAACAUCUGUAUCAUAAUGAUGCAUAUUAUUGUCAGAUAUAUCACUGUGAUGCAUGUGUUACCAGAAAAACUAUAUGCAGAUAGCAAAUAUCAAUUAGGUUGGGUAAUGUAAUAAUAUUCAGCUUGUGCUUAUAUAAAUAAAAUCAAUAAAACUAUUAAUUGCUAUAAAUAUUUCUUGACGGUAUACCUCAUCAUUCUAACAAUUACUUGAUUGGGUCAUGUCAUAAAACGAACUUUUUUUCACCGAGUGUACAACUAUAAAAUCAAGCUUUGAUUUUAGAUCAGCGUAUUAGGCCAUGUAGUACUCAUCUUGUCCUUUCAUGCAUUCAAAUUAUGAUUUCAAUAAGUGUUGAUACUAGUUUUUGUGUUGUACAGGCCAACUGACAUCCAAAGAGAGAACUUAGAGAAGACAUCUUCGGCAUAUGAUCCAUUAAUGUUGUGACCUUCAAACGGGUAGUUCAACUUUUUGCACGACUGGAUAACUUCUUUAUCUUUUGACACAGAAUCAAAAACACUUACAAAUGGUGAUUGAUAUAGUUUUGAAGGCUGUCUAUUUCUCUUAGAAGGUUUCUUUCUAACAUAUGUCAGAUUAGUCUUGCAGACAGGGACCUAAGAAAUAGCUGCAAUAGCUUUGUUGCUAAUAUAACACUGACUAUCAGUGUUGUCUUGCCGAUCGCAUGUGUCAAUAGCUGCAACAGUAAUAUCAGUGAUCCCUGUUAGAUAGGCAACAAUCGAUGGUGGUACGUACAAAGUAAUAGCUUUAGAUAAAUCUUCAUCUGUAUUGUGAAGGGCUUCUUCAGAAUCAUGUGUGCCAUAUGUAAAAAAUGAACUUAGUGUACAAUGAAGUUUAGAAUUAAAGUGCCUAAACUAUCUAUAUGUAUCAUAAUGAUACAUAUGGACAAAUAUGUAUCAUUCUGAUACAUCUGAAAAACUUAAAUAACAGAUAACCAAUUUUUGAUACUUGAAACUUCAAUCAUCUUUAAAUAAGAUUAAAAUAUUUUUACUGAAAAAUUAUUAUACCCUAGAAAAACUAAAAAUAAGGUUGUGACCAUUAUAAUGAACAACUUCAAUGUACCAAAUAAUUAAAAAUAAAUAUUUGUGAGAAAUUACAAAACAAAAUUCGUUAUAAAUAAAUCGAUAUUACCUUAACGCGUUUGUCCCUUAUGCCUUCAUCUACUUCCACAGUUGUAUUAUGCCUAUCUUCUUUUUGGACCUUUUCUGUUUAUUUUGUGGAAAUUUUGUCUUUUAAGAGUCACCACUUAAUUUAUUUGAAAAGAAAUUAAGAAAACCUUUGAAAGUUACUUAAACGAUCCAAAACAAAAAAAAAAAUCAUUUAAGUUUGAAGAUUCUGAGUAAGCGGUUCCUAUCUCUUGGAAGGUUGUUAAGGCAUCAAGAGUAUCCUCUAACUUGCGGUUAUCCAGACUAUUUGAAAAUAUCUUUUGACUAACUUCAAAAAGAAAGAUUGAUUGUUGAAAAGUAAUUGACUUUAGGAAAAGACUAGAGUAAAAUAGAUUUGGACGACUUAGCAGGGAUUUUAACUAAGUCUAAAUAAAUUAAUAACAAAACAUGUAAAAGGAAAAGGGGAGAAAAUAAAAGACUUAGGCCAUUGGGCCCAAAUCAAUAGAUCAUGUACUAAUCUAAUUGAGUUUUUGGCCCAUUUGCACCUGUCCUAAUCUAAAUAUUGGUCUUUUGGCCCACAACCUGUCCUAAGCUAGUUUUCAGACCUUUGAGGUCCAAAAUCCGCUUCACCUCUAUUUAUUUACAACUUUGGAUUCGAGACCCCGAAUAAAUGAAUAAGUAAAUGAUUAAAUGAAUAAAUAAAAAGAAGACAAUAAAAAUCGAGACUUUACAAGUCUCUUAGUGACCUCAUCAAUAGAUUUUGACUCAUUUCCCUUCUUCGUCUAUCUUCUAGCACCCGCACGCCAUAUAGUCGACCUAGGAUUUAAACUUCGAACUUGACUCGAAGAGGUGGGCCUCAUUGGUCCAUUACGAAAUGCAAGAGGAGAGAAGUCCAUUUAAACUCGAGAUAUUUUUUGCAUACAAAGAAAAGAUAAAGAAAUUAAUACACGUCCAAGGCAUAAAAGUGACAUAUUUCAAAGUAAAAGAUACUAUCAAGAACCAAUUUUUGAAUGACAAUGAUAAGCACACUUGCACAAGAAUGAGAGUCAACAAAUAAAAUGCGAAGAAAAGACACCCACUUACAUGCCUCAUGACUUAUGUUCAUAUAAAAAUGAAUAAAGGUAAAAAGAAGAAGAUCAUAUUCAAUGAAUUAAUGCGAGAACAAAUAACGCAAGUUUGCAAGAGUAAAGGGAUGGGGAGAUAAGAAAAAUACCCAUGACUUCUAAAAUUGAACAAACAUAGAAACUAAUUCAUAUAACAAAAGAAAAUAAAAGCUACUUUUCAAGAAAGUGAAUCUUUAAAUUUCAAUUAAGGAGAAAUUAACGAAAAUUAAUACAUCUAAGUCAUGGCCAACUUUAGGAAAAACAUGUAACGACAUAUGAUUUAUCGUUCUAAGACAUCGUUGAUUCUCUUUUGACAUUAUGACUCAAAGAGAGACAUGAAUCAAGUCUUUACACACACAAAGAACACGUAUAACAAUCCAAAGGGAGUAAGAAAAUUUGAAUAAAUGUUUAGCAUCUCUAAAAGUGAAAUAUCUUUCAACAAUCAUACUGUGCACGAGUCAAAAAUAUCCAAAUAAUUCUAUUUAGCCACAAAAAUUCAAACUUUCUCAUUAUUUUGACAAGACAACAAGCGAACAAAAGAGGAAUAAACAUCUUGGAUGGAAAAUAAAGCUAACACUUCAUCUCUUAUAUGAGGAUUUUGAAAUCCAUUAAAAUAAUUAGCAAGCAAAUGACAAAUUCUUGACUUAACUAAUUACUAUUUUUACGAAGGCAAAACAAACAAUAAUAACUAUUUUUUCAACAUAAAAGAAACAACUUUACAUGCUAAAACAAACAUAUCCGCCAACAAUAAAUUUAAAAAAGGCAUGAGUUCGUCUUUUGAGCAAAGAUCAAAACUUUAUACAUAACAAUCAAAGAAUAAAGAUAAAAGGCAAAACAAUCAAUAUUAACUAUUAUUUUCAACAUAAAAAAAAUAACUUUACAUGCUAAAAACAAACACAUCUACCAACAAUGAGUUUAAACAAGACAUGGGUAUGUUUUUUAAGCAAAGAUCUAAACUUUAUCCAAAAUAAUUAAAGAAUAAGAUCAAAAGGCAAAAUAAUCAAUAUUAACUAUUUUUUUCAACAUAAAGAAAAUAACUUUACAUGCUAAAAACAAACAUAUCCACCAACAAUGAAUUUAAACAAGACAUGAGUAUGUUUUUUAAACAAGGACCUAAACUUUAUCCAAAAUAUUUAAAGAAUAAGGUGAAAAGGCGAAGCAAUCAAUAUUAACCAUUCUUUUCAACAUAAAGAAAAUAAUUUUACAUGCUAAAAACAAACAUAUCCACUAACAAUGAGUUUAAACAAAGUAUAAGUACAUUUUUUAAGCAAAAAUUGAAACUUUAUCUAUAAUAAUUAAAGAAUAAAGUCAAAAAAAGGCACAUACAACUAUUGUUAGCUCUUUUUUAUAUCAUGAACAUGAAGAUAAUUAAAAUAUUGAUACCACAACCUUCAAGGCCAUAAACAACAAACAAUCCCAGCAAACAAAAUUAUAACUACGAACUAUGAAAAAGAUGAAGAAGAAAAUGAUACUAAAACUAAAAAAAAAAAAAAGGUGUGUUUACCUUUUUUGGGGCAAGAAAACGAGACUACGAGUUUCGUCGGAAUCAACCACCACCGAAAAACGUCACUGGUAACUCAAAAAUUUUGAUUAACCGACCAACUUUAUGAAAUAAGAAUUUUUACUAAAUAAAAAUAACUAUUUUGCCCAAAAGGAAUUUUUCACCUUUCUAGCCUCUUUUAUUUAACUUCUCCACCCCUCUUUUCUACCAAAGUAGUGAUAAUAUUUAUAGGGGAGAAUGGAUUUUUUCUUCCUUUUCUCCACCAAUGUGGGAGAAAAAUAUUUAUAGGAAAGGAUGAAGAUUUAUUUCUUGUCAUCCAUCAAUGUGGGAGAAAAGAUAUUUUGGGGUGUUUUUUUGGAAUUUUAAAAUUAAAGAUAAGAUGAGGUGGGAGAUAAUGUGGGGGGAAUUGUACCAUAUAGUACAAUUUUUGAAUUUCAAAAUUGUGAAAGGACAAAGUUGGGGGGAAAUAGUACAAUGUAGUACAAUUUACAAUUAAUUUUUGGUGGAAAUUGGGUAGAAGUUAUGAAAGUUUUUGGAAAUUUUAGGGUUAUUUAAAAUAUAACCCCAAUAGGGAUUUAAAAUUUAGCCAAAUUUAUUUAAUUUUGAUCAAAUUAAAAAUCAAUUGGCGCAUUGCAUUGCAAUUAUGAUCAAUUUUAUUUCAAUUAUGGACAAAUCUAAUAGAUUGGCUAAAUUAAAUUAAAAUUUGAUACGAAUUAAUACUUCUUUUAAUUCCGAGCUUCUUGAUUUAAUAAAAUCAAACACAUAUUUAUCCAAAUAAAUUAUUUUUGAGAAUAAAUUAUAUUUAAAUCAAGAUUUUAAUCCUUUGAAUUUAUUUCAAGACAAACCUUGAUUAAAAUCCGAUAUUUAUAAAAAUGGAUAUUUAAGUAAUAAAAUUAUAUAAUUUCGUGUAAUUGAAUACGAUAAUAUAUAAUCGCUACUUAAAAUGAUAAACUUAUCCAGAUAAAUAUUUUGAAAAGCUUUUUAUUCGGAUAAAAUAAAUAUUAUAAUUUUAUUUAAAAAAUUGAAGAAACUUGUAAUUAAACUUAGUUAUGGAGGACAAAAAUUAGGUGUCAACACUAUUUACGAACUCUCAGCCUCCUAUUUGACACAUGUCAAAUUUAAUUUUGUGUGACAUUUAAUUUAUGAUAUAAAUCGAUUUAAUUAUUUGUAUGUAUCAAAUUGAUAAAGGUUGAAACAAAUGUAUGAAAAUGAUUCAUUUUGAAAACAUAAGGAACACAUAACAAAUGUGUGUUACUGAAAAUCUUGAUUAAAUUGUCUAUAUGUAUCAAGGUGAUACAUAUGAUGUCUGAUGUAUCACGUGAUACAUAUGAGUAACUUAAUCAAUACAUAUACACCGAUAUAUUAACAGUUUCAACAUUUCAAAAAAUAACAUUUAAACUAUUUGAGGCUAGUAUUUUGAGCAAGUUGUAACAAAUCGAUCAUAUACUUAAGUCAAUUUAACUACCUUUAAGCAUUCCUCAGCUCCUCCUUCAUUGCCACCUACUUUAGAUGAUUGACCGACAUCAUGUACGACAUUGUCACUUUUAGCAUCCAUUUUGUGCUCAUUAAGAGAUUGAGGAGGAUCCCCUUCUCUAUCCGGGAUACCUUUUUUCACUUUCAUAUAGUGGAUAUUGAGCAACCUGCAAUAUCACAAAUUUGAAUAAUAUGAAAACAUAUUGAUAUUAAUGACAAAUUAUGAAUACCUUGCCAUAUGAAGCAAAACCUUUUUUCACAACUCCAAAAAAUCCUGUAUAAUGGUCCACCAUUAACUUUUGAAGAUCAUUGAAUUUCAUGUCAAUCUACAUUGUGAAUAACAUUUUGAAUUUCAUGUCAACUAAUUCUUGUUUCUUCAUAGGAGGGUGUGAAGAUGGACCAGCAUCAAACCUCAUCUUUUUGAGAAAAUCUACAUUUGGAGUAGUACUGAAAUCAUCAAAUUCAUCUCCAAAUUCAGUAGGAGCAGUCCUUUCAGAUUAUUGUUGUACAGAUACUGCCUGUGCUAUAUUUGCAUCAUGAUUUGUUGGACCAAACAUCAAAGGAUUGGGCAACUCAAGAUGGUUCAAUUCCUGUGGUGAUGGGGUUAGAUUCCUGUAUACAAGCUGCAACAAAAAUAACACACAGGAUCAAAAAUUAAAAGUACCUUAAAAAUUAAAAAUAGACAUACAAAAGUAUCACGGUAAAAAAAACACUAUCUUACUAAACAUAUCAUCCAUCAGAUCCUUGUAUCUAGGCUUAGGUUUAACCACCUUCCAAUUCACCAUCCUUGGGAUUAAAUUGUGAACAUGAAAGACAAGUGAUUCAUCAACUGUGGCACAACAUUCGUACCACCAAAUCUGAAGCGCGUAUGGCAUGCCACUUAGACGGUAAACUUUUGGACAUCAUUCAUCGAUCGACUAAUAGAAACCAUCAGUUUCUCAAGAGCCAUUUUUCCCUAUGGAAAAUGACUAGAACUUUCAUCAUCCACCAUGUGAAAGUCUCAGGCAGGGAUAUUGGUUUUAUCUAAUUGGGAGAACACAAAUGUGCGUAUGAAGUACAAUAUCCCAAUUUUUAUUGCAUCUUUCACAUUUUCCCCACUUGUUAUUCAAAGAAAGCUUGACCAACUCACCCUUUUUCACAUUUGCUGUCGAAUUUGAAAAAUAUUUUUUCUGUAGUCGACAUGGUGGAAGGUCUGAAUAAUUAAAAUCAUCUACGUUGCCGAUGCAUUUCAAUCCUGUAACGAUAGCAAACUUGUACAGUAAAAAUCAAAGAAUUGUAUUGUUGACCAACGCCCUUAGUUGAUCCUGAUAUGAGUGUUGGACCUCUAAGAUCAUCAAGAACCUUGCUAUCAAUCCUUGAAAGUUACAAUUAGGUAGGUUCAGAAAUGACCCAAAACAAGUACUUCUGAAAAUUCUGAUUUCUUCAUCCUUCAAAAUCACGUUAAGCAUAUCUACUACAUUAAUGUUAUGUGCACUACCAAUCCUUACGUUGUGGGAAGGUCAUUCUUUCACAAUCAAACUAACAUUCUGCCAACAGAAAAAAAAGAAGUUGAUUCAUAUGUCAAAUGAAUCACAUGUUUAUAAAUUACAACAACAAUAAAAUGAGAAUAGAAAGUGUUAUCACAUAUGUAUCACAAAAAAAAUGAUACACAGAGAAUCGCUCUUAUUCUAUAUGAAAAAUGUGUAGCUGUAACGCCAAUAUGAAUCACCAGCACAAUAUAUGUAUCACCAAUUAAAAUAUCAUUUUAGUGUAACACCCAUAUGAAUCACCAGCACAAUAUAUGUAUCACCAAUUAAAAUAUUAUUUUAGUGUAACACCCAUAUGAAUCACCAGAACAGUAUAUGUAUCACCAAUUAAAAUAUCAUUUUAGUGUAACACCCAUAUGAAUCACCAAAAAAAUACGAAUCACCAAUAUGAAGUUAGACUGUUAAUCUGUUAUUAUAUGAAUCACCAAUAUGAAUCACAAGGUAUUUGAAUCACUAGUUAUGAAUCACUUGCGAUAACAAUACUUGCUCCGACGGAGAUUUGGGGAUAUGUUCAAUUUCAUCCUGAUGUUUCAUUUGUUUGUCGGAAUCUCGAUUUUUAGCAACAAAAGCUUCUAGGGUCAUUUCGCUGCUUUGAAUGAUUUUCACUAAAACCUAACUUGGUGUAAUUAAAUUUGCCCGAAGUAAAGCCCAGAACUUGAUUACUAUCAUGAACACCUUUUUGUGUUUCAAUUUGUGAAAUUCCCAAACUGAAUGAGGGUAAAUCUUCAUUAGCUAUUGAAGAUUCAACAAAUUAACACAAAGAAAUUUAAAGAAUAUAUAGAUAUUGACUUCUCUUGUUAAAAACUAACUUAAAACCCACAUAAACAAAAAAUUAACCUCUUUGAAGUAAUUGACAAAUUUUAAAAUUUAAUGCUGAAAGAUUACGUUUAAUUAGUUGAAGUAGUGGAGAAAGAAGUUGACUCAAAAUAUGCUAAAAUGAGAGAGAUUUAAUGGGAGUAAUUUGUGGAAAAAAAGAAGAAGAAGAUGCGUAUAAAGAUGAGAGAGAAAGACGUUAAUGGAGGAGAGAAAAUAGAGUGUGAAAGUUAAAGCAAAUGUAUCACCAUAAAUAUGCAAAAAAGGAUUUUAUGUAAUUUUUAAAAUAUUAAGGGAUAUUUGAUAAUAUGGUGCCUUAAGUUUGGAGUUUUUGUAAUUUAUCCUUUUUAAAAAGUCCUCAACUCCAAAUUUCAAAUUUUAGAAUUUCCCCCUUUUUCUUAUCUUUCAAUCUUUCUUAAUUUUUUUUCUUUCUAUCUCCAAAUUUCUUUAUCCCCAUCUUCUUCUUCUUAUUUUUUUUUCUCUCUAGAUUUUCCUCUUCUUUCAUCUUCUCUUCUUUUUUUUCUUUCUCUUUUCAUUUCAUUCUUCUUCCUUUUUAAAUUUUCAUGGAUAUUUUUUAAAAAAACAAUUGAGAAGUUUGAAAAGAAUUUUUUUGAUUUCUUUUAAAAAUAAAUAAAGAAAUAGUUUAGCAAAUUCAGCAACUACCAUAGUUGCUACAACAGUUACGGUAAUUGCUGCAACAACUACUAUUAGUUGUUGUGUUACAACAAUUAUCGAAAUUGCUGCAGCAACUUCAAUACUUAAUUUCUGAAAAAAGAUGUGGUUGGAGGAUGAGCUCACAAAAAAGUGAUAUUUUUGAUAAAAAGGAAGGUGAUGGUGCUGAUGGUGGUGAUGUCGAAUGAGAAGAUGACAUUUGUUAUGGUGUUGAUAGCGAUGGUGGUGAAGGAGAAAGAAGAAAAAUAGGCGAUAGUUAUGUAGAGGGAGAAGAUAAUGGUGAAUCUGAAAGAGGUGACAAUGGUAGUAAUAGUGAUAGUGGAGGAAGAGGAGGCAGCGGCGACAACAAAAAGGGUGUGGAAGAGGAUUGAUGGUGAUGGUGUAGGGAUCUUUGUGUAAAUAUAAUAUAGGGAUCUUUGUGGAAAUAAUAAAACUUGAGGAUUUUAAAAUUAAUGUUAUUAAUACUAAUCUUAAAAUUAUCACCUCUACUCACUCAAUAUUUAAGACUUGUGUCACUCUUUUUAGUUUUGAAAUUUAUUUGUCACCCUUAAUUAAUUUGCCUUAAUAACUUUACUAAUAUGGAUAUAUUUGGCCCAAUAAUUUAACUAGGUGUAAAUUUAGUUAAUUUAUCAAAAUAUUGGUUAUUUUUGACGAAGUUAUUCAUUCAAGAUAUACACGAAGGAAGAACAACAAAAACGGAAGAUCAAAUCAUUUACUAGUCGAUGAGCAAAUUUUCUCCAGGGAAUUAGUGGCACCAUUAAAACAGGUUCUUCUUCUUCCUUCUUACACCAUUUUUUUGUUGCUAUAAACUGUGAAUCUUGUAGUGGAAAAUUUGAUGGACAUGUUUCUAUUAACCUGUUGACAUAAACAUAUGUAACCAACAAUAUUCGUAGCCGACAAAAAUAUCUCCACAGGCGACAAUAUUAUGAAUAAACAGUAACUUUAUUUUGCUUGAUACACUUUGUAUAUAAUAGUAUUCAAUUUGGUAAUUGAAUUUUUGUCACACCAAGGCUGUAACCUAGCUGUAGAUGUUGGAAUUUGUUUGUCCAAUAGUUAUUUUAUUUUAUAUUUUGCGAAAAUCUAGUGACAGCUUGCUGUUAUGAAUUGUUAUGCUGAUCAUUUCUCAUUUGAUCUGAGAGUUUGGUGUAGUAUUGUUUCAUGACGCAUUCAUAGAGGAGAUCAUUUUUAUCAUAAUCUGUAAUGACAGUAAUGUAGUUCAAUGUUAGCCUAGUAGAAGCAUGUUCAAGCUUCCUCUUCUCAAUCCCAAAUUCCUUUAACGUUUCAUGGAAGGUUUGAGCAGUUUUACGCUAAAACUAAUUGAUGUUCGAGAUGCUUAUUUCUUUUCUUUUUGGAACGAAAGUUUGAGUGUUUGAUUAAUACGUGGGUUUAAAAAAUGAAAAUUCAGGACUAGACAAUCAUUGGAAUACAUGAAAAAUCCACUCUAUUAUCAGCUCAUUCACAACCACCUUACAACGACAUCAAACUAUGAAAUUUUGAGAACAUUAUGAUAUUCACUUUCCAGGAACAAAGUUUGUGGCGUAGGCCCAGGCAUUGUUGUUUACUGGAUCUGCAAGGUGAUCAGCAAGGUUCUCCAAUGGGCCCUUACCGGUAACAAUUGCCUGAACAAAGAAUCCAAACAUAGAGAACAUAGCAAGUCUACCAUUCUUAAUCUCCUUUACCUUGAGCUCAGCAAAUGCCUCUGGAUCAUCAGCAAGACCUAAUGGGUCAAAGCUGCCACCAGGGUAGAGUGGGUCAACGACUUCACCAAGAGGCCCACCAGCAAUACGGUAUCCCUCAACGGCUCCCAUCAAGACAACUUGGCAAGCCCAGAUGGCCAAGAUGCUUUGUGCAUGGACCAAGCUUGGGUUGCCCAAGUAGUCAAGUCCACCCUCGCUGAAUAUCUGGGAUCCAGCCUUGAACCACACAGCCUCACCAAACUUGACACCGUUACGGGCCAAGAGCUCAGGGAAGACACAUCCAAGAGCACCAAGCAUAGCCCAUCUGCAGUGGAUCACCUCGAGUUCUCGGUUCUUGGCAAAGGUUUCGGGGUCUGCUGAAAGUCCAGCAGUGUCCCACCCGUAGUCACCAGGGAAUUCACCGGUCAAGUAGCUUGGGGCCUCACCGGAGAAUGGGCCCAGGUACUUAACACGGUCUGGGCCAUACCAUGGGCUGCCAGAUGAGGCAGGCUUGGAGACAGCCUUUCUCAUAGAGAUCCUUCCAUUUCCAGUGAUUUCUGAGGGAGAGGGUGAGAGUUUCACUGCCUGUCCAGCAAAAGAAGGGGAAGAAAGAGCCAUUGUAGAAGCUGCCAUGGCUUAUCAAGAGAAAAGUAAGUGUUUGAUGGUAUGAAAUAUUGUUGAAGCUGGUUGUCAUGAAGCUGAAGUUAGUUGGGUUUCAGAAUAUAUAGUAGUAAGUAGAGAGAAAGAAUCCUCUUAUCUAGUGAUGUCUAUAGCUAAAAUCUCAUUGGGUAUCAAGAUCCCAUGUAUAGCAAGUAAUGCACUCUUGGCAAUUCCAAUCCAUCAAUUUUCCAAGAUGUUCACUAAGGGGGACCCAACCAAUUUUGUCCUCCUAUAUGUGGCUGCAAGGCUUGAAAUCUAUUCUAUGAAUUCUCGAGCUUCAAUAUGAUAUCUUUUAUCCAUUGGGAAUUUCUCAAGAUUUUAUCCACCAUGACUAUAGCUCAUUCAGUGUAGAACUAUGGUUUGGCAUUUCACUAAGUAAAUUGAGGAAAAACUGAAAUUCACUUGUAUUAGAUUAUCAAUUACUGAUGUUUGUCAAAAGAUUAACCUGUAAUGGCUUAAUGAGCAAAGGUGGAUCAAGAUUUGAAUUUUAUGAGUUUUUAAUCUAGGACUAGACCUUAAGUAGUAUAUCCGUUGUCCCAAUUUGUGUGGCACAAUUGCAAUUUCGAGAGCCAACCAAGUUUUUCUUUGAUGGAAAUUUGUUUACAUGUCUUUUAAAUAUUUCAAGUUAUUAAUUAUUGUGAUUUAUAGUAGUACUUUUUAUUUUUAGAUAACCGUGGUAUCCAGUGUUUGCCACCUCCCACCAACAUGGGAUUUGAACCUAAGAUCACUAAGGUUCUCAACCCACUUCAUUGACCAUUAGCCCAUAACCUUGAGUGCAUUGUGAUUUAUAGUAUUGUUUACAUAGUUUCCAAGUACAUAGAUUUUAUUUCAAAAAAAUUAAAACUUUUGUGUCCAAAUUGACUGUCAAAGUUUAAAAGUUUGAAUUUCAAAAUUCUAAAACAGAGGGAGUAGUAAAUAGAUUCUGAAUUUGAUUACAUACAUAUUUAAUGAUUAUUGUAACACAUACAUUAUUUGGGCAAAAGCUAAUUGGUUCUGUCAAACAGUAUGCGGAAGACUACCUCUGUCCCUGUUAAUAAGUGAUAUGAUUGUAUUAGUAUUUUUAUAAUGUCAAUGCAUAGAACUUAAUUGCCUUUCUAGUAAGUGUCAUGUAUAGCUUACUUUUAUCUUCUUCUUACUAUGUCCUUUUGGCUCUGGUCAUUACUAUGUGCCAUGUUUCGAAGGAUGCCUGCCUCUGUUAAAUAAGCCGUCACACAGGCAUGCAAGGAAGGAAGGAAGAGUAUACAAGAAAUUUAUGAAUUUGUUCAAAUUAAAGAUGCUAAUUAAAUUAACGUACACGUAAACCUAAGUAUUAUGACCUGGAAACUCAUAUAGCAGUACUUGCUACAUUCAGACUACAAAACAUAUUGGUUUUCCCUUUUUAACUGAAAUGUCAUUGGUCUAGUAGUAAAAUAAUAUGAUGACCCUAUUUACUUUUGAAAGAAAAAUGAGGAAUCAUGUAAUAACAUCAUAUCGUUCAGCAUUAUUAUUUGCACUGAUUUUGAGUAUUGCUUCUUGAGAAUUAAUUGAAUUCCAUAAGUUUCUCCGGUCUGUAAAUUUAAGUUUUAAGCUUUUAACAGCUUUCUAGUUUUUCUAGUUACCAUAUCCCAAAUGCAGCUUCGGUCUUUUUGCUAUGCUCUUCUUUUUUUCCCUUUGGUAUGAAAAUUGAAAAUGGCAAUAUAUGAUUCAUGUCUUUGAAAAGUGAAACUCAGAACUACAUCAUCAUUGAGAUAUAACAAACAUUUAUUCUAUUGUCAACUCACUCACAACAACUUUACAAGGCCAUCAAGCAAUCAAAUUUUAAGAAUUAUAUUAUGAUAUUCAUUUUCCGGGAACGAAGUUUGUGGCAUAGGCCCAGGCGUUGUUGUUAACUGGAUCUGCUAGGUGGUCAGCAAGGUUCUCCAAUGGACCCUUUCCUGUAACAAUGGCCUGAACAAAGAAUCCAAACAUAGAGAACAUAGCAAGUCUACCGUUCUUAAUCUCCUUUACCUUGAGCUCAGCAAAUGCCUCUGGAUCAUCAGCAAGACCUAAUGGGUCAAAGCUGCCACCAGGGUACAGUGGGUCGACAACCUCACCUAGAGGCCCACCAGCAAUACGGUAUCCCUCAACAGCUCCCAUCAAGACAACUUGACAAGCCCAGAUAGCCAAAAUGCUUUGUGCAUGGACCAAGCUUGGGUUGCCCAAGUAAUCAAGUCCACCCUCGCUGAAUAUCUGGGAUCCAGCCUUGAACUACACAGCCUCACCAAACUUGACACCAUUACGGGCCAAGAGCUAGGGGAAGACACAUCCAAGAGCACCAAGCAUAGCCCAUCUGCAGUGGAUCACCUCAAGUUCACGGUUCUUGGCAAAGGUUUCUGGGUCUGCUGAAAGUCCAGCAGUGUCCCACCCGUAGUCACCGGGAAAUUCACCGGUCAAGUAGCUUGGAGACUCACCUGAGAAUGGGCCCAAGUACUUGACACAGUCUGGCCCAUACCAUGGGCUGCCAGAUGAGGCAGGCUUGGAAACAGCCUUUCUCAUAGAGAUCCUUCCAUUUCCAGUGAUUUCUGAGGCAGAGGGUGAGAGUUUCACUGCCUGUCCAGCAAAAGAAGGGGAAGAAAGUGCCAUUGUAGAACUUGCCAUGGCUUAUCAAGAGAAAAGUAAGUGUUUGAUGGUAUGAAUAUUGUUGAAGUUGGUUGUGAUGAAGCUGAAGUCAGUUGGGUUUCAGAAUAUAUAGCAAGUAAGAGGGAAAGAAUACUUAUCUAGUGAUAUCUAUAUCUAUGAUCUCAUUGGGUAUCAAGAUCCCAUGUACAACAAUUAAUGCACUCUUGGGAAUCUCCAAUCCUUCAAUUUUCCAGGAUGUUCACUAAGGGGACCCAACCAAUUUUGUCCUCCUAUAUGUGGCUGCAAGGCUUGAAAUCUAUUCUAUGAUUUCUUGAGCUUCAAUAUGAUAUCUCUUAUCCAUUGGGAAUUUCUCAAGAUUUUAUCCACCAGGACUAUAGUUCAUUCAGAGUAGAACUAUGGCGUAGCAUUUCACUAAAUAAAUUGAGGAAAAGCUGAAAUUCAUUUGUAUCAGAUUAUCAAUUACUGAUGUUUGUCAAAAGAUUAACCUGUAAUUGCUUAAUAAGCAAAGUGGAUCAAGCUUUGAACUUUAUGAGUUUUGAAAUGUAGGACUAGACCUUAAGCAGUAUAUCCUCCGUCCUAAUUUAUGUGGCACAAUUGAAUUUCGAGAGUCAACCAAGUUUUUGUUUGAUGGAAUUUCUUUAUAUGUGUUUUAAAUAUUUCAAGUUGUUAAUUAUUGUGAUUUAUAGUAGUACUUUUUAUUUUUAGAUAACCAUGGUGUCCGAUAUUCGCCACCUCCCACCAACAUGGGAUUUGAACCUAAAACUUCUGAGGUUCUCAACCCACUUCAUUGACCAUUAGACCUUGGGUUCAUUGUGAUUUAUAGUAUUGUUUAAUAGUUUCCAAGUACAUUGAUUUUAUUUCAAAAAGCUUAAAACUUUGGUGUCCAAAUUGAUGUUGACACCUAAUUUUUACCCCCCCACCCCCCAUAACUAAGUUUAAUUUCGAGUUCUUCGAUUCUUAAUAAGAUUACAACAUUUAUUUUAUUGAAUAAAGGAAAUUUUCAAAAAUAUUUAUUGGGGUAAUUUCGUCACUUUAAGUAGCAAUAACAUGUUAUCGUGCCCGACUAUAUGAAAUUAUAUGCUUUGGUUACUUAAAUGGCUAUUUUCUAUAAAAUAAUCAAAGUUUGUCUUGAAAUAAUUUCGAAUGGUUAAUCUUGGUCUAAACAUAAUUUAAUCUCAAAAAUAAUUUGUAUUUAAUCUCAAAAAUAAUUUGUUCAUAUAAAUAUUUGUUUAAAUUUUAUUAAAUCAAGAAGCUCAGAAUUAAAGGAAAUAUUAAUUGAUUUCGAAUUUUGAUUCAAUUCGGCCAACCUAUCAGCUUCGACCACAAUUGAAAUUAGAUUGGCCAUUAUUGCGAGCAAUUGGCCAAUUGAUUUUAAAUUUGGCCAAAAUUUGAAUAAAUCAGCCAAAUCCCUAAUUACAUAAUCCACCCAAUUAAAUCAAUAUUGUCUCAUUUUAUAAACUACAAAUAGCAGCCCACUUUCUUAAUUUAGCUUACUAGCCUUGCCAACCUAAUAGUUAAGAUCAGCCCUUUCCCCUUUCAGUUGGGCCGUUAGUCCAAAACUUUCAGAUGACCCAACAAUUUUCAAAUGACAGCAAACCCAACCCAUUUUCUCAGCAAUCUUUUUCUUUAAUUAUAUUGACCGCCCCAGCCCAACAACAACAUCCGAUUCAUAACCAGGCGCAAUUUCAGCAUCCCCACCAGCCUAUUUUCCUUUUUCCUAUUUUCCUUUUUUUUCUCAAGCAGGCCUAAAUCAACCACCUGUGACCCGAUCCAACCCAAUUCCCUUUACCCCCUUUAUGUUCUUUCUCUUCAAACCAAGGGAAAACCAAAAACAGCUGUAAUACUACAACACCACCACCUUCAUCGACAACACAAGCAACCAACAACGGCGAAAAACCCGAAUCCAUCAACCCGAUAACCCGACUCCACCAGCCCCAACCCUUUUGUUUGCUCUCCACAAGCAUAUCACGCGUUAGAAAGAUGAGAAAGGAAUCCAAGAAAAAAUCAGUCCCAAACCUUCUAGAACGAGCCUACGUGUCAUCCCCAAAGGUUCAAUCCCGUGUUUCUCGGAUAAGAUUGUACGAUUUCGUACAGAGUUGGAUGAUUUUCAUUGGUUCUUGGAAAGAGUCCGUUUUUCCUAAAUGGUAUUAGUCUACCUGUCGCAAAUUUCUCCAAAAAAAUCCAAAGUUGGUAUGUUUUGGGCUAAAAAAUGAGGUUGUGGGAGGAUGGGAUUCUGAAUUUCGAAUUUCUCUUUUUUUUUAAUCCCUAGAUUACCCCCAAUUCAUCCCAUAUAUAAGGAUCCAUCGGGUCACUGUGAUGGGGGGAUUUUUUUUUAGAUGGGACUCUCCUCUUUUUUUCUAGGUUCACAACUUUAGAGGUAAAGGGAUUCCAACUGGGAGGUUUGGAAAAUUUCGCAAAAGUAUCGAGGGUUUUGGGGUCGAAAAAUUUUAGGAAAAAAUUUCUUAAAUUAGGAAAUUGAUAGAGAGGGCUAAGUUCAGAAACCAAGGAGGAAGUUUCUAGAGAAAGGAAACAAAAUUUUUAAUAUAGGUGUCUUUGGUCGACGAUUACUUCGAGCUUUCGUGGUCACCGUGUUAAAAUUUCUAGUGGUGUUGCAAUCCUGUCGUCAGCUCAACAACCCAUUUUGCUGCUCUGAAACAGGUAAACGCGUCUUUUCCUUUGAGUUUGUUUUGCUUCUUCAUCUCAUCCUUCAUAGUUUUGUAAUUAUAGUGAUAGUGGGAUGGUUUGUUGUAGAUGGUUGUUAUGGCCAUAGGAUUUUCUUGAAAAGAUUGCCGUUAUGUUGGUCGUUGCAUAAAUGUCUACACUCCAAUCCUUCGCUCCACUUUCGAUUUCGUAUGUUUCGGUUCGAUCGUUUUGACUCACCAUAUUAUUUUCAUGCUGUUAGUUAGUUUCAAUCCAUUCUUAAUAGUAAUCAAUGUUGUCAUGGUGGUGUUUUUUUUUAGUAUAAAUGUUGCUGAUUUUUUCAGUUUAAAUAGUAUUACUUUCAAUCUAGAAUAUUGUUAUUUUCUGAGUCUAAGUAUUGUUGGGUUUCAACCCCAAAUAUUAUUGUGUUUUUUAGUCCAAGUAGUGCUGUUUUUAGGCCUGAUUAUUGCUGUUUUUUAGCCUAAAUAUCGCAGGUUUUUAGCCUGAAUGAUGUUUCGGAACUUAAAUAUUUUUCCCAGACCUUGAACAUCGUCGUUGAACUCUUUGGUUUUGUUUUGUUGCGUCAAACAUGUAAAAUUUUCUUAAGUAGCAUACAGUUGAGUCGGAUCUUAUUUGGUUGUCUUUAGAAUCGAUCAAUAACAUGUUGGUUGUUUUGUUUCGAUUUAAAUCGGUCUUCCUUUCGAAUUAUAGAUGACCAAAAUAGAUAAUGUGCUUCUUUCUUCUUGAAAAUGACGUUCAAAACUGUUUGUGCUUGAGGCGUUGAUUUAUUUUUGCUUUCCCCCUUUGUUAAAAAUAUGUCCAAUUCAUCUUUUUGUGUCGAUUAGAACAGUGGCUUGUCAAUAUCCUAUUCUUACGUUGGUCUGAUUUUCGCUCAUAGGCUUAAAACUCUUAAGGUUUUGCAAAGCUAUUAUGUAGAAAACAACGAUUCUAUUGUCUUUUGGAUACGAAUCUGCAUCCUCAAUAUUUCUUCCGAUAAAUUGUUUCGGAGUCUAUCGUUUUCUCUUUUUGUCUUUGUUAAUAUGUGUCAUUUGCUACUACUUGUUGAUUCUUUGUUUGUAAUACUUGUUUUUCGGUUAUCUUCUACCCUGUUUAAUUAUCUGGUUCAAUAUAUUAAUUUUUUUUAGCUUCAAGAAUCUUGUGAUGAACUAUCACUUGUUGGUCAUUGAUAUCAAAAUAAAUCAAGAUGUGUUCAAACCAAGCUAUAUAAUUGGUCUUUUCUCUUAAGUUUGUGCUUUCUGGUUGAUAAAUUUUAAGGUGAUAUUUCUAUGGGUGAAAUGAAUCAGGAGCUUUACAUGAUAUUUCUUUUAAUUAGAUCACACUAGUACUGUUUUAUUCAUGCACCAAAUGUAUUCUUUUCCAUGUCAUCACUUAUUUGUUAAGUAACCAACUUUCAAACAUAUAUUAAUUUUCUUACUUUUUACUUUGCAUGUGGAUACGUUUGAGUCCUAAACGGACUCCUUUUCACCUUUGCAUCCUCGCUAUGGGCCCUUGAGGCUCACCUCGUUGAACUAAGCCCAAAAGAAGGUCCAAAAGGCCAUCGUUUGGCGUAUGGAUACGAGAAGACGGGAGGAAAGGAAAUGGAUUAAAGCCCUACAUUUGAAGCGGCUAAGAGACAAAAGUCUCAUUUAUUAUUUCAUUCUAUUUAAUUAUUGUUGCUUUUUUUAUUUAUUUUAUUUGUUUGUUCAUUUUAUUUAUUCAUUCGGAUCACGAAGCCAAAGUUGUAAAUUUAAUACAGGUGGAGCGAGACUCGAGCUAAAGACUCGAAAAACAUAGAAUUAGGAUAGGUGCAAAUGGGUCGAAAUCCUAACUAGAUUAGGAUAGGGUCGACGGUUUGGGCUUAAAAGCCUAAAUCAUUACUUUCCCACUUUUUUCCUUUUUUCUUUUCAUUUACUUGUUUGCUUGUCUCUUUGCGAAGUUAGUUAAAUCCCUAACUAAGUCACUAAAAAAUUGAUUUUGAAAUUUUUUUUAUUUAAUCAACUAUUUUUCUAGCAAAUUGAUUUUCCGAAGUUAAUCAAAAGAAUGUUUUUAAACAGUCCGGAUAACCGCAAGUUAACGGACGUUUUAGGUGCCUAACACCUUCCUAAAAUGUUAAUAGGAACUGCUUACUCAGAAUCUAUUAACUUAAACGAUUUUCCUGUUUUGAAUUGUUUGAUGUAAUUCUCUAAAGGUUUCUUAAUUUCUUUUCAAAAUUAAGUGGCGACUCUCUUUCAAAAGUUAAAAUUUCCGCAAAAUAGAAAUGGCGACUCUGCUGGGGAUUUUUUGAACUAGGUUCUAACCAAAUGUUUGAUUUUGUCUUUUGAUUAAAUGUUUAUGUGUUUAUAUAUUUCAAUUCUAUAAAUAUUAAUUAUCGCAUCUCAUGGCAUAUCCCUGCAUUAUUUAAACUGUUUUGGGAUUUUGUGGAUGUUCGGCCCUUGUUGUUUAAUUUCAAAAUGUGUUGGAAAUACGAACAUCUUAUUUGCACGUGAGUCAUCUGAUGCUGUUCGUAUUUUCAAACUCAAGUUGUCCUUUUGAGAAUCAGUGUUCAAACCACUCUAGACACAGAGGAUAGAACGAAACCAAAAUCCUAUUUUAGGCAUGAGUGUAGGACGAUCCAGUACCCGAGUGGGGUAUUGGGCCCAUUGGAAAACCUACCCUACGUCUAUUGACCCCGAGUUAAUUACAGACGAAUCAUAUUUAUGUGUUGAAAAAAAUACAUGCUUGUCUAAUUCAAUCCAUUAUCCUUUGGGGUCUGGGGAAGGCUUAUCUUUGUCUGCUUUCAUGUAGGAUAUGGCUCAACUACAUUCCCACGAAAAGUUCAAGAUGGUUACUAAACCUGACGAUUUCUUGAAACUAUGGUGGGACCACAUGAGCGCAGGAGAGAAAAAGAUUGUUAGAACACACAUUGGGCAUCUUCCUUCUUUGAUCGAGAUGGACGCUUGGCCCGAAAUUAUCCAUGUACUAAUAACUUUUUGGGAUGAUCAGAAUAUAGUAUUUCGCUUUAGGGAUGUUGAAUUGACUCCUACCAUUGAAGAGGUAUUAUUUGUUACGAGAGUACAGAAAUGUGUUUUAAGAGAAGGGAGACACCUGAUAAGAACAUUUUAGUCCCGAUUGUGUGGGAUCGUCAAAAGAUCAAGGAGGUAUUUUUAACUAACGACGACACCUGGCUAGGAGAACGUGUGGAGAAAAUAUCACUUUUCGUGAGUUGUAUCGUCGGUUCGGGAGAUUCAAUGCUUUUCACAAAUUUGGGCAUAAAUAUGAGUCAGAAGCAAAAUGGAAAGAGUCGAGAGCCUUUGCAUUUGCGGUAGGCCUACUUUGAACCAUGGUGUUCCCACAAGGGGAAAAUGGCACAAUUCAUCCGAGGGUUGUCUCAGUGACCUAUGCACUCUUCUUUGGAAUGGAGUACAAUUAUAAAAAGGUAUUUCACAACUUAGAUCCUAUGAUUGUUGCCGACUUAUAUCGAACUUUGGGAAGGUGUCAAGUCGAUAAUCGUUUCUUUCAAGGCUGCAACCUUAUGUUACAAUGGUGGAUGAUGAUUCAUUUGGUGAAAAAUCCUAGAAUGACACAACCUGACCACAAAACAAGGUGGAAUCUGCUAGAAUCGCACGACAUGUGGUUGUUUUUACACAGGUUCAAAAGGGAAGCAUCUCAUGAAUUUUGGCUUAAGACUCUUGGAGAAUUAAGAGAUGACGAUGUCCAAUGGUCCCUUAACUAUCUUCAUUCAGGGAAAUACAUUAUUCAAGGGGGUGAGUGGCCUUUUCUAGUGCUUCCGGGUAUCAGGGGAACCUGUCCCUACAAUUCUGGUAGAGUUCUUAGGCAAUUUGAGAUCAAGAAGGAGAUGCCUCAAAUCGAUUCUAUGCUCAGAUUCUUCACCGAAUAUGAUGAAACCGAGCCCUCGCUCAAAGACUACAUGAUAAACGAAUUUAGAAGGAGAAGGUGGACGGAAGUCUCUUUCCAUAUAGGGUAUGUACCUGAAGUCAACGAUACUUACAAGGAGUGGGUAAAAAAGAGCCUCAGUGGUGCAUUAAUUUCGGGGCCAAACGUGCCCACUUGGGUCGUGGAUGUAGAAUUCGAGCAUCAGAUCCAACUCCACAGGCUUCAGGAUAAAUUUUAGAAAAAUGAAAUCGCGCACCGACAUCGCAUGUAGAAGAUGCUUUAACAAUACGUAUGUUGAGGGAAGAGUUGAAAAGAGCUAGGCAAGAGGCUGAUGAUGCUAGGCAGUGUUUAAUCGAUUUGGAUGAUAGCAUGGCCUCUCAACUCGAUAGUAUAGGGAAAAUGACUUACCACAGCAAGGCACAAUUAUACGGGAGUCAUCUGAUCAUCAAUAGGUAUCAAAUAGCACAGGAGGUGAACAAGGAAAAGAAGGCAAAGACAGACAAAGGAGCCUCCGUUAGCUAGUUUUUCUAUUUCCCCUGCGCGGGAACUUAUUUUCUUUCAUGUUAUUUCCCUUUUUUCCUAAAGAUUGUAUCCCUCUUUUCUUAUUUUUUUGAAGGCAUCUAUGCCCUUUUUCGUGUCUAUAUAAAUUAGGGGAUAAUGGAUUGACUUUAAGGAAGCAUAUAUUUUCUUCAAAAUCGUUAGGCCUGAACCCUUGGCUCAAAAAGGGUCACCCCAGUUAGGAUACGCAUUAUUAUAAUGUUUUGUGUGAUAUAAUUGUCUUAUGUUCUUAUGUGUGUUUAUUUGGAUCAACGGCAAGUUUAUUCGCUAUACUCCUAUGGAUGAAUUUGGCUAUGACUCAAAAAACUCUAUGUGAUUAUUUCUUGUCAAAUAUUUUGCAUUACUUAUCACAUACGGAAACUAACACAUCUGCCUUUGAGUUGUUUUACUUAACAGAUAGUAGAAACUACUCUGUGUUGAUAUAAGUUGGCAGAACAUCCCUACUUCACCCGGUCAAAAGCGCACAAAAUCCCAUCCUCUGACCAUCAUUUAAUAAUACUAGAAAUAAUGAAGAAAACGCAUUGACCAUCAGGGACAAUCUAAUAGUGGAACAGAAUGAGAUGAUUACGGAACUCGCAAGAAAGCUUGAAAUGCUUCAGGAGGAAAUAAAUUGUACUCGAGAUUUGGCUCACCUGGCCAUCACUGUUAAUGCUCCCGCUCCAGGAGGACACGGGACUCCACUCCAAAUACCUUCCCUUAGUACGCCUAUUCUCGGGGAUCAGCCAAAUAACAUAUCAUCCGUCUCUGCCCCUUCACUUGUCCAAAAUACCAAUCGCGAAAAUAACCCAGAUGCCUACCAUCCACAAAAUCCAUCUCUAACCCCACAAAACCCAUCUACGAAUCUAUUCCCAAAUCCCCAGAACACAUUUUCAAAUCAAGAAAAUUCAUUCCCAAAUCCACAGGAUUCACUUCCAAACCCGUAAAAUCCAUUAAAUCUAUUCCCGAAUCCACCAAAUUCGUUUCCAAAUCCGCAGAAUUCUCCUCCAAUUCCACCAAACCACUCGUAAAUUCCACAAAACCUUCCUAAAUUUUAAAACAUCAUCCCCACCUACCAAUAAACUUCCUUUCAUCUGCAAAAUCAAGCCUCCUUUCCAAAUCUCCCUCAUGCCAUCAUAUCCCCUGACAUCUAUAAUCCCCUACCUAAUUUUGAGAUGGACCAUUACUAAGAGAAGGAGAAAGAGUGGAUGAUCGAGGAUGAAAUUAGGUUGCUAGCUAUGAAUGAAGAGAUCAUGAGGAUCAAAGAAUCUCAUGAAGCGAGGGACCACGACGGUUUAGGGUAUGAUGACUUAUGUGUUCACUCUGGAGUAGAUCUACCAGAAGGGUACAAGGUCCCCAAGUUUGAAGUGUUUGAUGGUGCUGGGAAUCCAAUGGCCCAUCUGAGGAGGUACUGUAAGCAACUGGUAGGGAUCGAGAAAAAUGAGGUGUUAUUGAUGCGCCUAUUCAGCCGAAGUUUAAGCGGUGAAGCCUUAGAGUGGUUCAUGUAUCAGUAGCCAAAAAAAAUGGACUGGUUGGAAAGCAUUGGCUAAGGGUUUCCUCGAAAGGUUCUCAUUCAACAUUGAAAUUAUCCCGGACCGGUAUUCACUAGAUCGGAUCAAACAAAAGAGUGAUGAGAGUUUUCGAGACUAUGUUUUUCGUUGGAGGAAGGAAGCUGCCAAAGUUCAACCCUCCAUGUCUGAGGAAGAAAUGGUAUCCGUAUUCUCUCACGCUCAAGAAGGACAAUAUUAUACCAGGAUGGUGUCCGCUUCAGGGCAACUUUUGCAGAUUUGGUAAAAAUUGGGUAAUCACUGGAAGAAGGUAUUCGUACAGGAAAAAAUUGCCAAGACCCCAACAUCGUUCGAAACUGCUAUGUUCUCGAAGAAGAAAAAAGAGGAUGUAGGCACGGUUUCUGCUGAUUCUAUUGCAAAAACGAAAAAAAGGUUCAACUCUAGGAAUGUUUUCUCUUCUCCACCAUCACCAAACUUUCAGCAUGUAUUCUACACCCAACCCCAAUACCAAGCUUCACUUCCAAAUAUCCAACCUCAGUACCAAACUCCACUCCCAAAUAGUCAACCCCAGUACCAAGCUCCACUCCUAAAUGUCCAAUCCCAAUUCCAAGCUUCGCAGCCAAAUAUUUUUCCCUAAUGUCAAGUUCCACCGCUGAAUUAUCAUCCUAAUAUCCAAUCCACUCUUCCAAACAUCCGAAAAAACAUCCAAGCACCUCUAAAUUAUCAUUAAGUGCUUCCUCCUGCAAAUCAAAAUCAUUAUAACACUCCGCAUCCAAACAUCAAAAAUAAACCUCCCCAAAACUCCACGUUGCUUGCUGAAAGUCGCACCCAACUAUUUGAAAGAUUGAAGAAUAUCGGUCACUUGUAAUCGAUCCAGUUAAAUCUUGUCAAUCCCAACUCUCGAUUUUAUUAUCCUGAUCAAAAUUGUUCUUAUCAUUAAGGAGCAGCAGGGCACAGUACCGAGGACUGUUUUAUCUUGAAACAGAGGAUCCAAGAUCUGAUUGAUCAAAAGGUCAUCACGCUUCAGUCACCGACACCAAAUGUCAAUAGUAACCCAUUGUCUAAUCAUGGGGGAUCUACUAUUAACAUGAUUGAAAUGAAACGAGAAUGGGUGUCUGGCAAGACUAUUACUAAGAUGAAUUCAGAAGAGUGCAAAAGGGCGGAAGAGGUAGAAAAGAUAGAGAGAGUUGUGGCUACCUUAAGUGUCAACGAGAAAGCCCCAUUUAUAGUGAUGACGGCCCCUAUCCAAGUGUACACUCACCCGCCAAGGAAGGAAUUUAUUGUACAGACCGUUGUUGCCUAAGGGAUGAUGCAAUCGGGAUGAUGCUACAUCUCUAAAGAAUUGACCAACAAAAAAAAUUCACAGAAAAGGCCAACCACUAAAGGGGAGGAUGAGGAAUUUUGGAGGCGUAUGCAACCCAAAGAUUAUUCAAUUUUCAAACAUUUAGAGAAGACGCCGGCCCAAAUCUCCAUUUUGGCACUAUCAAUAAGUUCGCAAUACCACCGAUAAGCUUUAUCAAAGGUCUUGGAUGAAGCGUAUGUUCCCGUAGGAACGAGUGUUGAGAACAUGGUUGCGAUGAUAGAAAACAUUGUGGGGAAUCAUCGUAUAUCAUUCAGUGAUGAAAAGUUGCCUUUUGAAGGAGUGAUGCACAAUAAAGCCUUGCAUGUCACUGUCAUUUGCCAAGAUUAUGCGAUUAAUCAGGUAUUAAUAGAUGAUAGAUCUGGUGUGAAUAUUUGUCCCCUCUCCACGUUGGUUCAAAUGGGCUAUAAUUUGGGAAAAAUUCAUCAAAGCCACAUAAAUGUGAGAGCAUUCGAUGGAGGGCAGAGAGAUACCAUAGGAGAAAUUGAUUUGUACAUCCAAAUGGGACCUGCUGAGUUCAAAACUAAGUUUCAUGUUAUGGAUAUUCAUCCUAGCUACAACCUUCUCUUGGGAAGACCAUGGAUACAUGGUACAAAGGCCGUUUCAUCACCCCGUCAUCAACUAUUGAAAUUCAUUUGGGAGGAUCAUGAAGUAGUCAUCCAAGGGGAAGGAAGCCGAGCGGAUCGUCCCAAUGGUUAUGUGCCGGUAAUUGAAGAUGUUCCAAAGGGUAGUAGUUUCUAUACGGUUGAAAUUAUAAAUGCUGUGGAGAAGGAUCUGACGCUCAAAGGGACAAUGCCUUCUUUCUAUAAAAUAAUUGCGACGGUGAUGUUAAGAAAUAGAUUCGAGCCUGGUCGGGGUUUGGGUACGAAUCUACAAGGAAUUAUUGAGCCUAUUAUGAUCCCAGAGAAAGCCUUUAAAUAUGGGUUAGGAUAUCACCCUACCGAGAAGGAUAUGGUUGAGGAUAAGUUAGAGCAGAGUCUGUGUAGGCCCUUUUUGCUUUUAUACCAGUCAUUUCCUAUACGGGAGAUGUCGAAUGAUGAUGGUCUUGAGUAUGGGAUAGGAGAUUUGUUUGAGGGAUGCAAUGCUAUACCAGAAGAUUUCCCAAAGUCCGGCGGGGUGAAGAAGAUUGCGCCAGGGGAGGCCUUGAAAAACUGGACCUCCACUCCAACCCGUCGCCCAUCGUGGUAGAUGAAAGGGCAAUUCAGAAUAGUUUUAAAAUCAGUGAUGAUCUGGAAGAGGCCCCACGAUCCACACUUUAUAUCUCAAAACUUUAUUUUUAUAUUUUACUGCUUUCAAAAAGGCAUGGACUUGUAUUUGCACGAGUCAUGAGCCAUGGUUUUGUAAUUAUCUCGCAAAUUUCAUUGAAAAGGCCUUCAUUCAUUUAAAAAAAAAUUAUUAUUCCUGAAACAUUCCUAUUCGUAUAUUUUAUUAUUAUCUUAUUAUCAUCUAACUUGGUUUGUUUGUCCAUUACAGUAACAGUAACUUAAAAUCUGCCAAUGUCAUGUCAUAUCAAAGCUUAGACGAACAAAAUAAGGGGAAUGAUGAUGAUUGGAAGGACGGUGAUGAGGAACAAUUAGUUGAAGAUAUAGAGGAGUUUGAGAAUCGAGAAAAGCCUAACCUAGAGGAAACUAAAAUAGUCAACCUCGGAGAUCAAGAUGAAAUCAAAGAAAUAAGUGUCAACGUCCACUUGGCGGAAGCACAAAAGAGAGAGCUCAUUCACCUGUUACAGGAAUAUAUUGACGGUUUUGCUUGGUCCUAUGAUGAUAUGCCGAGAUUGAGCACCAAUAUUAUGUCGCGUAAGUUGCCAAUAAAUCCAGAGUUUGAUCCAGUCAAGCAAAAAAUACGGAAAUUCAAGCCAGAUUUAAGUCAAAGAUCAAGGAAGAAGUGACAAAACAAAUCCAGUCUAAGGUUGUGGAGGUCACAAAAUAUCCAACAUGGUUGGCCAACAUUGUCCCUGUGCCGAAGAAGGACGACAAUAUUCAAAUUUGUGUUGACUAUAGAGACUUGAAUAGAGCCAGUCCUAAAGAUAAUUUUUCGUUGCCCAAUAUCCACAUCCUCAUCGAUAACUGUGCAAAGCAUGAAAUUCAGUCAUUCGUUGAUUGUCUUGCCGGGUAUCAUCAGAUAUUAAUAGAUGAGAAAGAUGCAGAAAAGACGACUUUUAUUAAGCCCUGGGGUAUUUAUCAUUACAAGGUAAUGUCGUUUGGUCUCAAGAACGUGGGUACAACAUAUAUGAGGGCUAUGACGAUGAUUUUCCAUGAUAUGAUCCAUAAAUAGAUUGAGGUGUAUGUGGAUGAUGUAAUUAGCAAAUCCUGCGAGAGUUCAGAUCAUCUGACUCAUCUGGAGAAAUUCUUUAACAGAUUAAGAAAGUACAGUUUAAAGUUAAAUCUUGCUAAGUGUACUUUUGGUGUGCCAUCAGGGAAGUUACUGUUCAUAGUUAGCAGAAGAGGCAUCGAGUUAGACCCAUCCAAAAUCAGGACAAUCCAGGACUUGCCAUCGCCGAGGACUAAGAAGAAAGUUAUGAGUUUCAUGGGUCAUUUGAAUUACAUUAGUAGCUUCAUCGCUCAAUCGACAUUCAUAUGCGAUCCAAUUCUCAAGAUAUUGAAGAAAAAUUCAUUGAAUGAGUGGACAGAAGAAUGUCAGAGAGCUUUUGACCACAUCAAAGAAUAUCUAUCUGCACCACCGGUUUUGGUUCCACCAAGAGAAGGAAUUUCAUUAUUGCUUUACCUGUCAGUCCCAAAAAAUGCUUUUGGAUGUGUCCUCGAGCAACAUGAUGAGACCGGUAGAAAAGAGAAAGCCAUUUACUACUUGAGUAAAAAGUUUACGCCAUAUGAAGCCCGUUAUACUCUUGUAGAAAUGACAUGUUGUGCUUUGACUUGGGCUGCACAAAAGUUAAGGCAUUAUCUGUCUUCGUACACGACAUACAUCAUCUCGAGAAUGGAUUCAUUGAAGUAUAUAAUACAGAAGACUAUACCCACAGGAAAGCUAGCCAAGUGGCAAAUAUUGCUAAGCGAGUUUGACAUCAUGUAUGUAACUCAAAAUGCAAUCAAGGGGCAAGCUUUGGCAGAUAAUUUGGCAGAGAAUCCAGUUGAUGAUGAGUAUGAACCACUUCAAACUUACUUCCCAUAUGAGAAAAUUCUAUUUGUGGGAGAAGACAUUACAGAAAUUUACCCUGGAUGGAGGUUAUUCUUUGAUGGAGCGGUCAACUUCAAAGGUUCAGGAAUCGGAGCAGUGUUGGUCUCAGAAAUGGGUCAACAUUAUCCAGUAACUACUAAGUUGCAUUUCCCAUGCACCAACAACAUGGCCGAAUAUGAAGCUUGCAUCCUGGGUCUCAAAUUGGCACUUGAUAUGGGUGUUCGUGAAUUGCUAGUCAUCAGGGAUUUAGAUUUGCUGAUUCACCAGGUACGGGGAGAAUGGGCGGUAAAAAAUUCCAAGAUUACUCCUUAUGUUGAGCUGGUACAGGAAUUAUGUGGAAAAUUCAAAGAAGUUGAUUUCAGACAUAUCCCAAGAAUACAAAAUGAGUUUGUUGACGCUUUGGCCACUAUAUCCUCUAUAAUUUGGCACCCAGAUCAGAGUUAUAUUAAUCCUUUGGAAAUAAGCUUGAAGGAGCAACCUGCGCAUUGUGCACGUGUUGAAGAGAAGCCCGAUGGAAAGCCAUGGUACUAUGACAUUAAAAGGUAUUUAGAAUCUGGAAUAUAUCCUGAAGAGGCCAGCAACAACCAAAAGAAACAACCCAGCGUUUGGCAAAAAACUACUUUCCAAGUGGGGAAUUUCUUUUUAAGAGGACACCUGAUUUAGGAUUUUUAAGAUGCGUAGAUGCUGUGGAAGCCAAUAAAUUGAUAAAAGAAGUACACACAGGAGUUUGCGGACCCCACAUGAAUGGGUUUGUCCUUGCCAUAAAGAUCCUGAGAACCGGCUACUUCUGGAUAACUAUGGAGAAUGAUUUAGUAAGUAUGUGCAGAGAUGUCCAAAAUGCCAUACACAUAGAGAUUUGAUUCGAAUGCCUCCACACGAGCUUCAUGAAAUGAAUUCACUUUGGCCUUUCGUAGCUUGGGGCAUGGAUGUUAUCGGACCGAUAGAGCCAUCAGCAUCGAUAGGCAUAAAUUUAUUUUUGUUGCCAUUGACUACUUCACUAAGUGGGUCAAAGCUGCAUCAUAUAGAUUCGUCACUAAGAAAAUGGUUGCAGCUUUCGUUAGGAAUAACUUGAUUUGCCAAUUCGGAGUACUGUAAUCAAUCAUUACUGAUAAUGGGGCAAACUUGAACAGUCACUUGAUGAAAGAAAUUUAUGAUCAGUUCAAAAUUGUGCAUCGCAACUCUACCGCAUAUCGUCCACAGAUGAAUGGAGCCGUAGAAGCUGCCAAUAAGAACAUCAAGAAGAUCUUGAGAAAGAUGGUCAAAAUGAUAGAUCAUGUCAUGAGAUGUUACCUUAUGCUUUGCUAGGUAUCGCACAACAGUUCGAACCUCCAUCUGGUCAACUCUCUAUUUGUUGGUUUACGGGAAUGAAACUGUGAUACCUGUUGAGGUUGAAAUACCUUCCCUGAGGAUUAUUCAAGAGGCCGGACUAAGUAACAAAGAGUGGGUUCGCGCUCGUUGUGAACAACUCAUGUUGAUUGAUGAAAAGAGAAUGGUUGCCAUGUGUCAUGGUUAGUUAUAUCAGCACAAGAUGAUUCAUGCUUUCAACAAGAAAGUGAGAGCUCGAACAUUUGAAGUUGGGCAAUUAGUUCUCAAAUGCAUACUCCCUCACCAAGAAUAUUACAAGGGCAAGUUCGCUCCAAAUUGGCAAGGUCCAUACAUAGUUCGCAAGGUACUAUCUAGAGGGGCUCUGAUUUUUCUGAGAUGGAUGGCCAUGAGUGGACCAAACCAAUCAAUUUUGAUGUGGUGAAAAGAUACUAUGUUUGAAGGGCGUUCUAGUUUUAUGGUUCUUAGUUUAUCUGUAAUCGCCAUGUAAUAAUGUGUUUUAUGAUGUGUAAUUGCCUAGAACACUUUUCCCUUUAUGUACGAACUAUGUUUGACCUGAAUUCCCAAGAAAGGGAUACGUAUGCGGCCUAUGUCGGAUUCGGUCAACCUCUUAGAGAAUUUAUUCUUUCCCUUUAUGUAUGAACUACUUGAUGACCUGAAUUCCCAAGAAAGGGAUACGUAGGCGGCCUAUGUCGGCUUCGGUCAACCCAUUAAUUUGUUUUGUAUAUUCCUAGCGUAAUCCUAAACUACAUUUGACCUGAUUCCUACUUCAACGGGAUACGUAGGCGCCCCAACGGUUCGAUCAUAUAACCCCAAGAAAUGAAAACUGGGGCAGAAUUUUUGAGAAGGAAUCUCGAAAAUUCACAAGAGAAGAUCAACAUCCAACAAAGAGAACGAAGAUCAGCAAAGACUUUAGAUCCACUCAAGAUGAUAUCAUCUCAGACUACUUUAAACUGGGGCAGAAAUUUUAAGGAAGACCUCAAAAUUUCAAUCAAAUACUGGAAUAUAUUUUAGAUUCCCCAGCACUAGAGGUCAAAGUUGAGAUUUGAGAAUAACCACCUGUGAUAAAGUCUAGGAAGACUGAAUCUCCAUCUUUGAUAAAACCUCUGGUAGAGAGCCUCGACAAUCUUGAAUCCCAGCUAUCCUCCGUCAAACGUCAGACAUUGUCAGAAUCAAGAUAAAGAAGGUCGUUGAGCUAGCACAUGACAUGACUGGCAAAGAUUUUUCAAAGUUUUGCAGGAGUUCUCAAAAUUAUUUUCUAAAAAGUAAGAGUACUAAAAUCUAUAUAAAUCUUUUACUUAGUUAUUGCCUAGACAUCAAUUAGGACGGAGAGUCAUAAGUAGAAGUCCCAACACGACGAAAUACCUGAAAAAUGGCGAAAGGUAAAUCAAGGAUCGAAGGAGGUCAACACGAAGUAGUUUCACUCAAACUAAUCAUUUUUUAUGGGCGCAAGGACCAAUACACAAAAAUGAAAGUCUCUUUCAAAAAUCUCCGAGCAAAUUGGGAGCCACACCAGAGCACUAAUGCUCAAGAACAGUAUUUUUGGGUAGCCCUAAAAAUGGGUUUAGUACCCAUAUAUUGAAGACCUUUUAAAGUUGUCCAUCUCAUUUCUUGAGAUCAUGGAGGACAAAUAAAAGUGUCUUGUCUUCUUUACAAAUAUUGUAUUUAGAAUUUUUCUAAAAAACAUUCGCUAGCAAAAACGACUUUGUGUCUACUAAUCGUCUACCUUGAGUAUAGGUACAUGCAGAAAGCAAGAUCCUGACAAAUGAUUUCAGUUGAAACUAUUUUUAAUUUACCGGAAGAACCAUUGCAUAUCAUUGCCGAAAGAACAAUUUGAGAGAUUAUCUAUAAGUCAUAUUGUAUCCAAGGUCGGAUGAUAUGCAGGAACCCCUGAAAGCUAGCGAUUGGAGGGAUAUCUGUAAGCUGUCUCUUAUCCAAAGUCGAAUAAUUUGCAGGAUUACCUAAAAGCUAGAAAUUCAAAGGAUAUUUGUAAGUUUCCUCUUAUCCAAUAUCAAAUAAUGUGCAAGAUUAUCCAAAGAUUGAUAAUUUAAAGGAAAUUUAUAAAUCAAUCAUCGUCAAUAACCAAAAAGGUUAUCCUUCCACAUACAACAAGAAUUAUAGGUGACCGAAGAAGUUACCACAUCUACACAAGAUUACAUGGUUGUGAGGACCAUUCUUCAUAAAAUAUCAUUGAUGUCCGAAGGGCCACCCCACUUUGAAGAUAUAUUCAACCGACAAAUGCCAUAAUUAUACAACUAUCAAGAAGGUUGUUGUGCCUGUUAUUUCAAGUUAUUUCCUUUCAAACAGGUACAAGAAAGGAUGACUUCGCUUUUUAGACAACAACUCACGCGGAGAUAUGGUAAAAUACUAUAUACCUCUUUCGUGAGUUAUGCUUAUCACUAAUGAUUUUUGUUUGAGAUAUUGUCGAGAGCAUCCGAGAGGAUAAAAAUCUCAAAUCAAAACCACAAGUGAGGACGACUCCAAAAAGGACGCAGCACAACGUGGAACUCUUUCUUAGCAGCAAAACGGGACAUAGUCUAGACAGGGAUGUCAAACUCUCUGGAUGCGAGCUAAAUGAUGAUUACCACCACCAUCUAACCACACCCCUUUUAGAAGGCAUGUGGGUAUUUUGGGAUAUUCUGGUUUCAGCUUCACCUUCGGGAUAUUUUCUUUACUCAUACCGAGGGUAACCUUCUCUUUCUUUCAAAUUUGGGUGACAACAUACUUAGAGUUUUGAAAAUUAUGUCCAGGUAAGUUCUUAUCUAUGGAUGUGAAGGAUCCCACAUUCAUGAUUAAGAGGUUACAAACCUUUUUUCCGCAACUCAGUCAACUUGUCACUUAUCCUGAUCCAAAGAUUGUCUAAAAAUAGAAGACUAUCUUUUCUACCGAUAGAGUCGAACUACAAGCAGUCUGAUUCCCUGAGUCUCGGGGAUAUGUAAGCUGGGCUCUAUGUAGAAAACUCAACUGAAUUCCAACCUCCCCCCAAAUCCCUCUAUUCCAUAGCUUUUUGAUUUUGUCAAAAACUCCAAAAAUCGAGACAACUUGUGAAUUUUUUAAAAAUCAUGCUUUAAAUCAUGCUUUAUGAACUACAAGUGGCCUGAAUUCUCAUGCCACCUGAGAUAUGUAGGAAACCUGAUGCCAAGGUUCGGCCAUAACUCAUUAAACUCGUGCUUAAGCCAACCUUUUUCAGAUGUGAAUUUGUGAUCAAACAAAAAUUAGGAACGUCAACCUCCCUUUGCCUAGGAUUACUUGCAUCCACCCUACCCAAAGGGAGGGGGCAGUUGUUGACACCUAAUUUUUACCCCCCAUAACUAAGUUUAAUUCCGAGUUCUUUAAUUUUUAAUAAGAUUACAACAUUUAUUUUAUAGAAUAAAGGAAAUUUUCAAAAAUAUUUAUCGAGGUAAUUUCGUCACUUUAAGUAGCAAUAACAUGUUAUCGUGCCCGACUAUAUGAAAUUAUAUGCUUUGGUUACUUAAAUGGCUAUUUUCUAUAAAAUAAUCAAAGUUUGUCUUGAAAUAAUUUCGAAUGGUUAAAAUCUUGGUCUAAACAUAAUUUAAUCUCAAAAAUAAUUUGUUCAUAUAAAUAUUUGUUUAGAUUUUAUUAAAUCAAGAAGCUCGAAAUUAAAGGAGAUAUUAAUUGAUUUCAAAUUUUGAUUCAAUUCGGCUAACCUGUCAGCUUCGACCACAAUUGAAAUUAGAUUGGUCAUUAUUGCGAGCAAUUGGCCAAUCGAUUUUAAAUUUGGCCAAAAUUUGAAUAAAUCAGCCAAAUCUCCAAUUACAUAAUCAACCCAUUUAAAUCAGUUUUGUCCCAUUUUGUAAACUACAAACAGCAGCCCACUUUCUUAAUUUAGCUUACUAGCUUUGCCAACCCAAUAGUUAAGAUAAGCCCUUUCCCCUUUCAGUUGGGCCAUACAGUUGGGCCGUUAAUCCAAAACUUUCAGAUGACCCAACAAUUUUCAAAUGACAUCAAACCCAACCCAUUUCCUCAGUAACCUUUUUCUUUAAUUAUAUUGACCGCCCCAGCCCAACAACAACAUCCAAUUCAUAACCAGGCCCAAUUUCAGCAUCCCCACCAGCCUAUUUUCCUCUUUAUUCUCAAACAGGCCCAAAUCAACCACCUGUUACCCAAUCCAGCCCAAUUCUCUUUACCUCCUUUAUCUUCUUUCUCUUCAAACCAAGGGAAAACCAAAAACAGUUGUAAUACUACGACACCACCACCUUCAUCGACAACAUAAGCAACCAACAAUGGCAAAAAAUUUGAAUCCAUCAACCAGAUAACCCGAAUCCACCAUCCCCAACCAUUUUGUUUGCUCUCCACAUGCGUAUCAGGCAUCAAAAAGACGAGAAAAGAAUCCAAGAAAAAAAUAGUCUCAAAUCUUCUAGAACGAGCCUAGGUGUCAUCCCCAAUGGUUCAAUCUCGUGUUUCUCAUAUAAGAUUGUACGAUUUCGUACAGAGUUGGAUGAUUUUCAUUGGUUCUUGAAAAUAGUCCAUUUUUCCUAAAUGGUAUUAGUCCACCUGUGGCAAAUUUCUCUAAAAAAAUCCAAAGUUGGUACGUUUUGGGCUUGAAAAUGAGGCUGUGGGAGAAUGGGAUUCUGAAUUUUGAAUUUCUCUUUUUUUUUCAAUCCCUAGAUUACCCCGAACUCAUUCCAUAUAUAAGAAUCCAUCGGGUUACUGUGAUGGGGGGAUUUUUUUUUUAGACGGGCUUCUCCUCCUUCUUUCUAGGUUCGCAACCUUAGAGGUAAAGGGAUUCCAACUAGGAGGUUUGGAAAAUUUUGCAGAAGUAUCGAGGGUUUUGGGGCCAAAAAAUUUUAGGGGAAAACUUCUUAAAUUAGGAAAUUGAUAGAGAGGGCUAAGUUCAGAAACCAAGGAGGAAGUUUCCAUAGAAAGAAAACAAAGUUUUUAGUAUAGGUGUCUUUGGUCGACGACUACUUCGAGCUUUCGUGGUCACCGUGUUAAACUUUCUAGUGGUAUUGAAAUCCUGUCGUCAGUUCGACAACCUAUUUUGAUGCUCCGAAACAGGUAAACGCGCCUUUUUCUUUGAGUUUGUUUUGCUUCUUCAUCUCAUUCUUUGUAGUUUUGUAAUCAUAGUGAUAGUGAGAUGGUUUAUUGUAGAUGGUUGUUAUGGCCAUAGGAUUUUCUUGCAAAGAUUGUCGUUAUGUUGUUCGUUGCAUAAAUGUCUACACUCUAAUCCUUCGCUCCACUUUCGAUUACGUAUGUUUCGAUUUGAUCGUUUUGACUCACCAUAUUAUUUUCAUGUUGUUAGUUAGUUUCAAUCCAUUCUUAAUAGUAAUCAAUAUUGUCAUGGCGGUAUUUUUUUUAGCAUAAAUGUUGCUGAUUUUUUCAGUUUAAAUAGUAUUACUUUCAAGCCAGAAUAUUGUUAUUUUUUUAGUCUAAGUAUUGUUGGGUUUCAACCCCAAAUAUUGUUGUGUUUUUUAGUCCAAGUAGUGCUGUUUUUAGGCCUGUUUAUUGCUGUUUUUUUAGCCUAAAUAUCGCAGGUUUUUAGCCUGAAUGAUGUUUCGGAACUUAAAUAUUUUUCCCAGACCUUGAACAUCGUCGUUGAACGCUUUGGAUUUGUUUUGUUGCGCCAAACAUCUAAAAUUUUCUUACGUAGCAUACAGUUGAGUCAGAUCUUGUUUGGUUGUCUUUAGAAUCGAUCAAUAACAUGUUUGUUGUUUUGUUUCGAUUUAAAUCGGUCUUCCUUUCAAAUUAUAGAUGACCAAAAUAGAUAAUGUGCUUCUUUCUUCUUGAAAAUGACGUUCAAAACUGUUUGUGCUUGAGGCGUUGAUUUAUUUUUCCUUUCCCCCUUUGUUAAAAAUAUGUCCAAUUCAUCUUUUUGUGUCGAUUAGAACAGUGGCUUGUCAAUAUCCUAUUCUUACGUUGGUCUGAUUUUCGCUCAUAGGCUUAAAACUCUUAAGGUUUUGCAAAGCUAUUAUGUAGAAAACAACGAUUCUAUUGUCUUUUGGAUACGAAUCUGCAUCCUCAAUAUUUCUUCCGAUAAAUUGUUUCGGAGUCUAUCGUUUUCUCUUUUUGUCUUUGUUAAUAUGUGUCAUUUGCUACUACUUGUUGAUUCUUUGUUUGUAAUACUUGUUUUUCGGUUAUCUUCUACCCUGUUUAAUUAUCUGGUUCAAUAUAUUAAUUUUUUUUAGCUUCAAGAAUCUUGUGAUGAACUAUCACUUGCUGGUCAUUGAUAUCAAAAUAAAGCAAGAUGUGUUCAAACCAAGCUAUAUAAUUGGUCUUUUCUCUUAAGUUUGUGCUUUCUGGUUGAUAAAUUUUAAGGUGAUAUUUCUAUGGGUGAAAUGAAUCAGGAGCUUUACAUGAUAUUUCUUUUAAUUAGAUCACACUAGUACUGUUUUAUUCAUGCACCAAAUGUAUUCUUUUCCAUGUCAUCACUUAUUUGUUAAGUAACCAACUUUCAAACAUAUAUUAAUUUUCUUACUUUUUACUUUGCAUGUGGAUACGUUUGAGUCCUAAACGGACUCCUUUUCACCUUUGCAUCCUCUCUAUGGGUCCUUGAGGCUCACCUCGUUGAACUAAGCCCAAAAGAAGGUCCAAAAGCCCAUCGUUUGAUGUAUGGUUACGAGAAGACGGAAGGAAAGGAAAUGGAUUAAAGCCCUACGUGUGAAGCGGCUAAGAGACAAAAGUCUCAAUUAUUAUUUCAUUCUACUUAUUGUUGCUUUUUUUUUUUAUUUAUUUUAUUUGUUUGUUCAUUUUAUUCAUUCAUUUGGUCCACGAAGUCGAAGUUGUAAAUUUAAUACAGGUGGAGCGAGACUCGAGCUAAAGACUCGAAAAACAUAGAAUUAGGAUAGGUGCAAAUGGGUCGAAAUCCUAACUAGAUUAGGAUAGGGUCGACGGUUUGGGCUUAAAAGCCUAAAUCAUUACUUUCCCACUUUUUUCCUUUUUUCUUUUCAUUUACUUGUUUGCUUGUCUCUUUGCGAAGUUAGUUAAAUCCCUAACUAAGUCACUAAAAAAUUGAUUUUGAAUGUCAAUAUCCUAUUCUUACGUUGGUCUGAUUUUCGCUCAUAGGCUUAAAACUCUUAAGGUUUUGCAAAGCUAUUAUGUAGAAAACAACGAUUCUAUUGUCUUUUGGAUACGAAUCUGCAUCCUCAAUAUUUCUUCCGAUAAAUUGUUUCGGAGUCUAUCGUUUUCUCUUUUUGUCUUUGUUAAUAUGUGUCAUUUGCUACUACUUGUUGAUUCUUUGUUUGUAAUACUUGUUUUUCGGUUAUCUUCUACCCUGUUUAAUUAUCUGGUUCAAUAUAUUAAUUUUUUUUAGCUUCAAGAAUCUUGUGAUGAACUAUCACUUGCUGGUCAUUGAUAUCAAAAUAAAGCAAGAUGUGUUCAAACCAAGCUAUAUAAUUGGUCUUUUCUCUUAAGUUUGUGCUUUCUGGUUGAUAAAUUUUAAGGUGAUAUUUCUAUGGGUGAAAUGAAUCAGGAGCUUUACAUGAUAUUUCUUUUAAUUAGAUCACGCUAGUACUGUUUUAUUCAUGCACCAAAUGUAUUCUUUUCCAUGUCAUCACUUAUUUGUUAAGUAACCAACUUUCAAACAUAUAUUAAUUUUCUUACUUUUUACUUUGCAUGUGGAUACGUUUGAGUCCUAAACGGACUCCUUUUCACCUUUGCAUCCUCUCUAUGGGUCCUUGAGGCUCACCUCGUUGAACUAAGCCCAAAAGAAGGUCCAAAAGCCCAUCGUUUGAUGUAUGGUUACGAGAAGACGGAAGGAAAGGAAAUGGAUUAAAGCCCUACGUGUGAAGCGGCUAAGAGACAAAAGUCUCAAUUAUUAUUUCAUUCUACUUAUUGUUGCUUUUUUUUUUUAUUUAUUUUAUUUGUUUGUUCAUUUUAUUCAUUCAUUUGGUCCACGAAGUCGAAGUUGUAAAUUUAAUACAGGUGGAGCGAGACUCGAGCUAAAGACUCGUAAAACAUAGAAUUAGGACAGGUGCAAAUGGGUCGAAAGCCCAACUAGAUUAGGACAGGGUCGACGGUUUGGGCUUAAAAGCCUAAAUCAUUACUAGAUUAGGACAGGGUCGACGGUUUGGGAUUAAAAGCCUAAAUCAUUACUUUCCUGCUUUUCCCCCCUUUUCUUUUCAUUUAGUUGUUUGCUUGUCUCUUUGUAAAGCUAGUUAAAUCCCUAACUAAGUCGCUAAAAGUUUGAUUUUGCAAAAAAAUUUUCCUUAAUCAACUAUUUUUCUAGCAAAUUAAUUUUCCAAAGUUAAUCAAAAGAAUGUUUUUAAACAGUCUGGGUAACCGCAAGUUAACGGACGUUUUAGGUUCCUAACACCUUCCUAAAACGUUAAUAGGAACCGCCUACUUAGAAUCUCUUAACUUAAACAAUUUUCCUGUUUUGAAUUGUUUGAAGUAAUUCUCUAAAGGUUUCUUAAUUCCUUUUCAAAAUUAAGUGGCUACUCUCUUUCAAAAUUCAAAAUUUUCGCAAAACAAUUAACUGUCAAAGUUUGAAUUUUGAAAUUCCGACCGAGCCACAUAAAUAAAACAGAGGGAGUAGUAAAAAGAUUAUGAAUUUGAUUACAUACAUAUUUAAUGAAUUUUUUAACACAUAUACAUAAUUUGGGCCAAAGCUACUUGGUUCUGUCAAACAGUAUGCUGAAGGCUACUCUGCCCCUGUUAAUAAGUGAUAUGAUUGUAUUAGUACUUUUUAUAAUGUCAAUGCAUAGAACUUAAUUUCCUUUCUAGUAAGUGUCAUGUAUAGCAUACUUUUAUCUUCUUCUUACUAUGUCCUUUUGGCUUUGGUCAUUACUAUGUGCCAUGUUUGGAACGAUGCCUCACUCUGUUAAAUAAGUUGUCACAUAUGCAUGCAAGGAAGGAACAGUAUACAAGAAAUUUAUGAAUUUGUUCAAAUUAAAGAUGCAUGGUUGAGCGGAGAUUAAGGAAGGUCAUGUCUAUUUCGGAGAAUCAGUUUGGAUUUAUGCUUAGUCGCUCGACGACAGAGGUAAUCCACUUGGCCAGGAGANNNNNNNNNNNUGGAAAGAAAGAGGGAUCUACACAUGGUGUUCAUCUACCUGUAGAAGGCGCAUGACAAAGUCCCUAGGGAAGUUCUUUGGAGGUGCUUGAAGGUGAGAGGGGUCCCGAUGACGUAAAUCAGAGUCAUUAAGGACAUGUACAAUGAAGGGAAGACUCGGGUGAGGAUGGCGGGCGGAGAAUCAGAUCAUUUUUUGGUCGAGACAAGGUUAUAUCAGGGAUCGACUCUCAGUCCGUGUCUGUUUGUGUUGGUGAUGGAUGUGUUGACGCAAAGUAUUCAAGGUGAGGUGCCUUGGUGUAUGUUAUUUGCAGAUGACGUAGUGUUGAUUGAUGAGACACUGGGAGGUGUAAAUAAAAAAUUAGAGGUUUGGAGGCAUACCCUUGAGUCUUAGGGGUUUAGGUUGAGUAGGUCAAAGAUAGAGUAUAUGGAGUGCAAGUUUAGUGACUCGAAGCAGGAGGCCGAAGUGGUGGUAAGGUUGGAUUCCCAGGAUGUUUGCAAGAGGGAUAGUUUUAAAUAUCUCGAAUCUAUGAUUCAGAGGAAUGGCGAGAUUGAUGAGGAUGUCUCUAAGCGUAUUGGAGCAGGUUGGAUGAAGAGGAGGCUCGCCUCGGGAGUGUUGUACGAUAAGAAGGUGCCCUUAAAGCUUAAAGGUAAGUUCUACGGAGUGGCAAUCCGCCCGGCCGUGUUGUAUGGUGCGGAGUGUUGGCCAGUCAAGAACUCCCAUAUUCAAAUAUUGAAGGUAGCGGAAAUGAGAAUGUUGCAUUGGAUGUGUGGGCUUACUAGAAGGGAUAGAGUUAAGAAUGAGAUUAUCCGGAAGAAGGUGGGAGUGGCGUCGGUGGAAGACAAGAUGAGGGAAAAAAGACUGAGAUGGUUUGGGCAUGUGAUAAGGAGGGGCACAGAUGCCCCAGUUCGUAGGUGUGAGAGACUAGCUUUGGAUGGUUUCAGGAGGAGUAGAGGCUGACCGAAGAAAUAUUGGAGAGAGGUGAUUAGACAUAACAUGGAGCUGCUACAGCUUACUGAAGACAUUACCCUAGAUAGGAAGGUGUGGAGGUCGCGAAUAAGGGUGGAAGGCUAGUGCGGGUGUGGGUUGUGACUUGUAGUUAGGGAGCUCUUCUGUAGUCGAUUUAGUAACCCUAGGACUGUCCUUUGGUAGGAGCCGCUAGUGUAUUCUACUACUAGGUGAGUGUCCUUGUCUUAUUUCUUAUUUCCUAUUUCUUAUUUUCGUAGUUCGCUUAUUUUCGUGUCGCUCUUAUUUUUAUUAUUAUUGUUUCUUAUUUCUUAGUUUUUGGUUAUGUCACCCAUCUUGUUUCAUGUAUUAAUAUGACCUUGUUAAUUAUUCUUUAUCUAGAGUCGGGGGUCUAUCAGAAACAACCUCUCUACUUCUUUGGAAGUAGCGGUAUGGACUACGUACAUUCUACCCUCCCCAGACCCCACUUGGUGCAAAUACACUGGGUUUGUUGUUGUUGUUGUUGUUGUAAAGAUGCUAAUUAAAUUAAGGUACACAUAAACCUAAGUAUUAUGACUUGGAAACUCACAUAGUAGUACUUGCUACGUUCAGACUACAAAACACAUUGAUUUUCCCUUUUAACUGAAAUGUCAUUGAUCUAGUAGUAAAAUGUUACGAUGAUCCUCUUUCACUUCUUGACAGAAAAAUGAGGAAUCAUGCAAUAAGCUUAUAUCGUUCAACAUUAUUAUUUGCACUGAUUUUGAGUAUUGCUUCUUGAGAAUUAAUUGAAUUCGAUAAGUUCCUCCGGUCUGUAAAUUUAAGUUUAAGCUUUUAACAGCUUUAUAGUUUUUCUAGUUACCAUAUCCCAAAUGUAGCUUCGGUCGUUUUUGCUAUGUUCUUUUUUUUUUCCUUUGAUAUGAAAGUGGCACUAUAUGAUUCAUGUCUUUGGAAAGUGAAACUCAGAACUACACCAUCAUUGGAAUAUAUCAAACAUUUAUUCUAUUGUCAACUCAAUCACAAUAACUUUACAAGGCCAUCAAGCAAUCAAAUUUUAAGAAUUAUAUGAUGAUAUUCAUUUUCCGGGAACAAAAUUUGUGGCGUAGGCCCAGGCAUUGUUGUUAACCGGAUCUGCUAGGUGGUCAGCAAGGUUCUCCAAUGGACCCUUUCCUGUAACAAUGGCCUGAACAAAGAAUCCAAACAUAGAGAACAUAGCAAGUCUACCGUUCUUGAUCUCCUUUACCUUGAGCUCAGCAAAUGCCUCUGGAUCAUCAGCAAGACCUAAUGGGUCAAAGCUGCCACCGGGAUAGAGUGGGUCGACAACCUCGCCAAGAGGCCCACCAGCAAUACGGUAUCCCUCAACGGCUCCCAUCAAGACAACUUGGCAAGCCCAGAUGGCCAAGAUGCUCUGUGCAUGGACCAAACUUGGGUUGCCCAAGUAGUCAAGUCCACCCUCGCUGAAUAUCUGGGAUCCAGCCUUGAACCACACAGCCUCACCAAACUUGACACCAUUACGGGCCAAGAGCUCGGGGAAAACACAUCCAAGAGCACCAAGCAUAGCCCAUCUGCAGUGGAUCACCUCGAGUUCACGGUUCUUGGCAAAGGUUUCUGGGUCUGCUGAAAGUCCAGCGGUGUCCCAACCAUAGUCACCAGGGAAUUCACCGGUCAAGUAGCUUAGGGGCUCACCAGAGAGUGGGCCCAAGUACUUAACACGGUCUGGGCCAUACCAUGGGCUGCUAGAUGGUGCAGACUUGAGAGCCCUUCUCAUAGAGAUUCUUCCAUUUCCAGUGAUUUCUGAGGGAGAGGGUGAGAGUUUCACUGCCUGUCCAGCAAAAGAAGGGGAAGAAAGAGCCAUUGUAGAAGCUGCCAUGGUUUUUCUCAAGAGAAAGGUAAGUGUUUGAUGGUAUGAAAUAUUGUUGAAGUUGGCUGUGAUGAGGUGAAGUUAAUUACAAGGGGCUUCACCAUAUAUAGGAGGAGUAAGAGCGGUAGAGGCCUUUAUCUAACGAUAUCUACAUCUUUUUCUUUUGGUGUUAACGAUAUCUGUAUCUGUGAUCUCAUUGGGUAAUAAGAUCACAUGUGUAGAAAUUAAUGCACACUUGGCAAUCUCCAGACUCCAAUCCAUCAAUUUUCCAAGAUGUUUACUAAAGGGACCCAUCCAAUAUUGUCCUCCUUUGUGUGGAUACGAGGGUAUUGACUCUAUUCUGUGAUUUGUUGAGCUUACAAUAAGAUAUCUCUUAUCGUUAUCCAUUGGGAAUUUCUCCGGAUUUUAUCUAAUAGCUGGGAAUAAGUUACCAACACUAUAGCUCAUUCAAUGUAGAAGUAGAAACUAGAACUAUGUUUUAAGCAUUCCACUAAAUAAAUUGUGGAAAAACUGAAUUUUUUAAAUCAGAUUGUCAGUUACUAAUGUUUAUCAAAAGAUUAAUUUGUAGUAAUUACUUAAUAAGCAAAAGUGGAUCAGAAUUUGAACUUUUAUGGGUUCUGUAGUCUAGGACGACGACCUUAAAUUCUACUAAAUAGUUUCUAAAUUUAACUUUUCUACAUAUUUAAUAAGUUUAUUAAAACAUACAUGGUUUGGGCCAAAGUUAGUUCUGUCAAACCGGUUUGCUGAAGGGUACCUCUGCGCGUCCAUGUUAAUAAGUGAUAUGAUUGUGUUAUGCGUAAGUAUUUUUACAAUGUCAGUGCAUAGCGUCUCUAUAGGGUCGUCUAUACCUUGUAUCUUCUGCUUACAAUGUCCAUUUGGCUCUGAUCAUUGCUAUGUGAACAUGUUCUUCUCUAAAGAUAGUACCGCAUGCAUGUAAGGAAGGAGGACUACACAAGAAAUUCAAGAAUUUGUUCAAAUCUAAGAGGCUAAUUAAAUUAAGGGCACAUUAGUAUAAUGACCUGGAAACUCAUAUAUUACUUGCUACGUUCAUAUUACAAAACAUAUGCAUUGGUUUUCCCCUUAUCAUUUAAAUGUCAAUGGCCUACGUAGUAGUGAAAUAAUAUUAUGUCCUCUUAAUUUAUCUCACUUCUCUACAGGAAAAUAAGGAAUCAUGUAAAUAGCAUCAUGUUGUUCAUUGUUAUUCUUGGCACUAAGAGUAUUGCUUCAUGAGAAUUAAUUGAAUUUCAAGCUUUACCACAUCCAAAUGUAUCUUGGGUUUUUUGUUUUGGCUCUGUCAUCUUUUUUUCUCGCCUUGAUAUGAAACUGGCAGUAUUUUAUUCAUGCCAUUGGCAAAUGAAAUUCAGGACCAUACAAUAGUUGGAAUAUAAGAAAAAUCCAUUCUAUUGUUAAGUAAACUCACAAUUACAACUUUACAAGGACAUCAAACAAUGAAAUUUUAAGAUUGUUUUAUGAUAUUCAUUUUCCAGGAACAAAGUUUGUGGCGUAGGCCCAUGCGUUGUUGUUAACUGGAUCUGCAAGGUGGUCAGCGAGGUUUUCCAAUGGACCCUUUCCGGUAACAAUGGCCUGAACAAAGAAUCCGAACAUAGAGAACAUAGCAAGUCUACCGUUCUUGAUCUCCUUUACCUUGAGCUCAGCAAAUGCCUCUGGAUCAUCAGCAAGACCCAAUGGGUCAAAACUGCCCCGGGGUAUAGUGGGUCGACAACUUCACCAAGAGGCCCACCAGCAAUACGGUAUCCCUCAACGGCUCCCAUCAAGACAACUUGGCAAGCCCAGAUGGCCAAGAUGCUCUGUGCAUGAACCAAGCUUGGGUUGCCCAAGUAGUCAAGUCCACCCUCGCUGAAGAUUUGGGAUCCAGCCUUGAACCACACAGCCUCACCAAACUUGACACCGUUACGGGCCAACAGCUCGGGGAAGACACAUCCAAGGGCACCAAGCAUAGCCCAUCUGCAGUGGAUCACCUCGAGUUCUCGGUUCUUGGCAAAGGUUUCUGGAUCUGCUGAAAGUCCACCGGUGUCCCACCCGUAGUCACCAGGGAAUUCACCGGUCAAGUAGCUUGGGGCCUCACCGGAGAAUGGGCCCAAGUACUUAACACGGUCUGGGCCAUACCAUGGGCUGCCAGAUGAGGCAGGCUUGGUGACAGCCUUUCUCACAGAGAUCCUUCCAUUUCCAGUGAUUUCUGAGGCAGAGGGUGAGAGUUUCACUGCCUGUCCAGCAAAAGAAGGGGAAGAAAGAGCCAUUGUAGAAGCUGCCAUGGCUUAUCUCAAGAGAAAGGUAAGUGUUUGAUGGUAUAAAAUAUUGUUGAAGUUGGUUGUAAGGAUGCUGAAGUUAGUUGGGUUCAGAAUGUAUAGGGGUUAAGUAGAGAGAAAAAAUCCUCUUAUCUAGUGCUGUCUAUAGCUAUGAUUUCAUUGGGUAUCAAGAUCCCAUGUAUAGCAAUUAAUGCACUCUUGGCAAUCUCCAAUCCAUCAAUUUUCCAAGAUGUUCACUAAGGGGAACCCAACCAAUUUUGUCUUCCUAUAUGUGGCUGCAAAGCUUGAAAUCUAUUCUAUGAUUUCUUGAGCUUCAAUAUGAUAUCUCUUAUCCAUUGAGAAUUUCUCAAGAUUUUAUCCACCAGGAGUAUAGCUCAUUCAGUGUAGAACUAUGGCUUAGCAUUUCACUAAUUAAAUUGAGGAAAAGCUGAAAUUCAUUUGUAUCAGAUCAUCAAUUACUAAUGUUUGUCAAAAGAUUAACCUGUAAUUGCUUAAUAAGAAAAGGUGGAUCAAGAAUUGAACUUUAUGAGUUCUGAAAUCCUGGACUAGACCUUAAGUAGUAUAUCCUCCGCCUCAAUUUAUGUGACACAAUUGAAAUUUCGCGAGUCUACCAAGUUUUUUUUUGAUGGAAAUAUCUUUGUAUGUCUUUUAAAUAUUUCAAGUUGUUAAUUAUUGAUAGUAGUACUUUUUGUUUUUAGAUGACCGUGGUGUCCCAUACUUGCCACCUCCCACCAACAUGGGAUUUGAACCUAAAACCUUUGAGGUUCUCAACCCACUUCAUUGACCAUUAGACCUUGGGUGCAUUGUGAUUUACAGUAUUGUUUUAAUAGUUUCCAAGUACAUAGAUUUUAUUUCAAAAAACUUAAAACUUUUGUGUCCAAAUUGACUGUUAAAAGUUUGAAUUUUGAAAUUCCUACCGUGCCACAUAACAGAGGGAGUAAUAAAAAGAUUCUGAAUUUGAUGUACAUACAUAUUUAAUGGUUUUUGUAACACAUAUACAUAAUUUGGGCCAAAGCUACUUGGUUCUAUCAAACAGUAUGCUGAAGGCUACCCCUGCACCUGUUAAUAAGUGAUAUGAUUGUAUUUAGUAUUUUUUAUAAUGUUAAUGCAUAGAACUUAAUUUCCUUUGUAGUAAGUUUCAUGUAUAGCUUACUUUUAUCUUCUUCUUACUAUGUCCUUUUGGCUCUGGUCAUUACUAUGUGCCAUGUUUCGAAGGAUGCCUGCCUCUGUUAAAUAAGCCGUCACACAGGCAUGCAAGGAAGGAAGGAAGAGUAUACAAGAAAUUUAUGGAUUUGUUCAAAUAAAAGAUGCUAAUUAAAUUAACGUACACGUAAACCUAAGUAUUAUGACCUGGAAACUCAUAUAGCAGUACUUGCUACAUUCAGACCACAAAAAUAUUGGUUUUCCCUUUUAACUGAAAUGUCAUUGGUCUAGUAGUAAAAUAAUAUGAUGAUCCUCUUUCACUUCUUGACAGAAAAAUGAGUAAUAAUGUAAUAACAUCAUAUCGUUCAACAUUAUUCUUUGCACUCAUUUUGAGUAUUGCUUCUUGAGAAUUAAUUGAAUUCCAUUAGUUCCUCCGGUCUGAAAAAUGUAAGUUUUAGCUUUUAACAGCUUUAUAACUUUUCUAGUUACCAUAUCCCAAUUGUAGCUUCGGUCUUUUUCUGCUAUGCUCUUCUUCGUUUUUCCUUUGGUAUGAAAGUGGCAAUAUAUGAUUCAUGUCUUUGGAAAGUGAAACUCAGAACUAGACCGUCAAUGGAAAAUAACAAACAUUUAUUCUAUUGUCAACUCACUCACAACAACUUUACAAGGCCAUCAAACAAUCAAAUUUUAAGAAUUAUAUUAUGAUAUUCAUUUUCCAGGAACAAAGUUUGUGGCGUAGGCCCAGGCAUUGUUGUUAACCGGAUCUGCUAGAUGGUCAGCAAGGUUCUCCAAUGGACCCUUUCCUGUAACAAUGGCCUGAACAAAGAAUCCAAACAUAGAGAACAUAGCAAGUCUACCGUUCUUGAUCUCCUUUACCUUGAGCUCAGCAAAUGCCUCUGGAUCAUCAGCAAGACCUAAUGGGUCAAAGCUGCCACCGGGAUAGAGUGGGUCGACAACCUCGCCAAGAGGCCCACCAGCAAUACGGUAUCCCUCAACGGCUCCCAUCAAGACAACUUGGCAAGCCCAGAUGGCCAAGAUGCUCUGUGCAUGGACCAAACUUGGGUUGCCCAAGUAGUCAAGUCCACCCUCGCUGAAUAUCUGGGAUCCAGCCUUGAACCACACAGCCUCACCAAACUUGACACCAUUACGGGCCAAGAGCUCGGGGAAAACACAUCCAAGAGCACCAAGCAUAGCCCAUCUGCAGUGGAUCACCUCGAGUUCACGGUUCUUGGCAAAGGUUUCUGGGUCUGCUGAAAGUCCAGCGGUGUCCCACCCGUAGUCACCGGGAAAUUCACCGGUCAAGUAGCUUGGAGACUCACCUGAGAAUGGACCCAAGUACUUGACACGGUCUGGCCCAUACCAUGGGCUGCCAGAUGAGGCUGGCUUGGAGACAGCCUUUCUCAUAGAGAUCCUUCCAUUUCCAGUGAUUUCUGAGGCAGAGGGUGAGAGUUUCACUGCCUGUCCAGCAAAAGAAGGUGAAGAAAGUGCCAUUGUAGAAGCUGCCAUGGCUUAUCAAGAGAAAAGUAAGUGUUUGAUGGUAUGAAAUAUUGUUGAAGUUGGCUGUGAUGAGGUGAAGUUAAUUGCAAUUAAUGCACUCCUGAGAAUCUCCAAUCUAUCAAUUUUCCAAUAUGUUUAUAAAGGGGGACCUAACCAAUUUUGUCCUCCUAUAUGUGGCUGCAAGGCUUGAAAUCUAUUCUAUGAUUUCUUGAGCUUCAAUAUGAUAUCUUUUAUCCAUUGGGAAUUUCUCAAGAUUUUAUCCACCAUGACUAUAGUUCAUUCAGAGUAGAACUAUGUCUUAGUAUUUCACUAAAUAAAUUGAGGAAAAGCUGAAAUUCAUUUGUAUCAUAUUAUCAAUUACAAAUGUUUGUCAAAGAUUAACCUGUAAUUGCUUAAUAAGAAAAGGUGGAUCAAGAUUUGAACUUUAUGAGUUCAGUUCUGAAAUCUAGGACUAGACCUUAAGUAGUAUACCCUCCGUCCCAAUGUAUGUGGCACAAUUGGAAUUUCGAGAGUCAAUCAAAUUUUUCUUUGAUGAAAAUUCUUUGUCUUUUAAAUAUUUCAAGUUGUUAAUUAUUGUGAUUUGUUGUAGUACUUUUUAUUUUUAGAUAACCGUGGUGUGAGGUAUUUGCCACCUCCCACCAACAUGGGAUUUGAACAUAAGACCUUAAUCCACUUCAUGGACCAUUAAGCCAUAACCUUGGGUGCAUUGUGAUUUAUAGUAUUGUUUACAUAGUUUCCAAGUACAUAAACUUUAUUCUUCAAAAAACUUAAAACUUUUUUGUCUAAAUUGAUUGUCAAAGUUUAAAAGUUUGAGUUUCGAAAUUCUGAUUGUGCCACAUAAAUAAAACAGUGGGAGUAGUAAAUAGAUUCUGAAUUUGAUUUAUAUAUCUAUUUAAUGAUUUUUUUAACACAUAUACAUAAUUUGGAUCAAGGCUACUUGGUUCUGUCAAACAGUAUGCUGAAGGCUACGUCUGCCCCUGUCAAAUAAGUGAUCUAAUUUUAUUAAUAUUUUUUAUAAUGCCAAUGCAUAGAACUUAAUUUCCUUUGUAGUAAGUGUCAUGUAUAUCUACUUUUAUCUUCUUCUUACUAUGUCCUUUUGGCUCUGGUCAUUACUAUGUGCCAUGUUUCGAAGGAUGCCUGCCUCUGUUAAAUAAGCCGUCACACAGGAAUGCAAGGAAGGAAGAGUAUACAAGAAAUUUAUGAAUUUGUUCAAAUUAAAGAUGCUAAUUAAAUUAACGUACACGUAAACCUAAGUAUUAUGACCUGGAAACUCAUAUAGUAGUACUUGCCAGUAGGGCUGGGCAUAUUUUGGUUUAAACCGAAAAAACUGAAAAAUCAAAUCGAAAUUUUAAUUUCGAUUUAGUUUUUCGAUUUCUUGGAUCGGUUUUGAUUUUCAAUUUUUGAAAUUCGGUUAAACGGUUUGGUGUUCAUUUUUUCAAAAAACAAAAAAUUUGGAUAAACCGAUUAACCGAAAUUCUAUAAAUAAUUAAUAAUAUAUAUAUAUAUUAUUUAAUAUAUAAUAAAAUAAUAUAAAUAUAUAAUAGCCACCCUAAUAACUAAUAAGUAAUAGCACGCCACAUACAGCUAAAAACAUACAUCAGUCCAAUAUUAGAACAAUCGAUUGAACCAUCGACCGCCAGCGAGAUCGUCGUCUGUACAACGACACUAGAGCGGGCGACCAGACGACCACUGUGGGCUGCAGCCUGCAGCGCCGUCUGUGGUCUUUCCGGCAGCGACCACUCUUCCGAGUUUCGACUGUUUAUGCAAACUUAUGUUAUUUUCGUUUGUACUUCGGGUACACAGAAUCUGUAUAUGCAGAAACAGCAACUUCAACUAAAGUUCAAGUAUAUAAACAAGAACACAAUGAAGUAUAUCAAAUACCCUCAACACAAGAUCAAAAUGACCUUUCCAAGAGGUGUAUUUUAUUUUUCAGAAAAUAGAUGAAACAGAAAUGAAUAAGACCAAGCAGUCCGAAUUCACGGACUUUCCUUAAGGAAUAAUGCCCCUCACUGUAUCCGAGGUUAUGGAAUCUUCCUCCCAGGAUAAAAUGGCCUUCAAUCCGACUAUAGCGGUACCUCAAAUAAGCGGAUUCUUCAAACACACAGAACGCUUUGAUUGAUCACACAGAAUAUUUGUAAAGAAAAGAAGAGAGUUUUUAUUCUGCAAAAUUUUUAUAUCAAAACCUGUAAAGGUAAGCAGGUUUAUAUAGCCUAGCAAAUGCCUCUUCGAAAAGGUGGCAUUGGUUCACUUAAAUGGUGUGAUAUUUCUGAAAAUGCAUGUCUGCAACAUUUUUGCUGAAGCAGUAUACCAUUUCACCAAACAGUGCACCUGUUCGAAACAGUACAUCACUUCAUUGAAGAAUUGUAUCUGUUCAGUCGAAGCAAAAAUAGUAUAUCAGUUCAGUGCAUGCAUCAGUUCAGUCAAAACGAAACAGUACAUCAGUUCAGUCAAAACAGUGCAUCAUUUCUGUUGAAACAUUGCAUCUAUUACAGUUACUACAUGUAUUUCGUUAAAUAAAGUUUGUCCAAAAAAGAUAGAUCUCAUCGAUCUAUCAUUUUCCAAAUUCGAAUCCAAAUUCGAAGCCGAGAGAGCGACGACGACGACGGCACGAGGCAUCUCUUAUUUCUUGCCUCACUUAUCAUGUGGAGUAAGUAUUCAUCAUUAUAAACACUCCAAAGUUCCCUUCUCCCAUAAAUGUGGGAGAAUUAGUGAACUUUUUAAUUUUGGGAGUAUACUUUCCAAAUUGGUGUCUCCUCUUCUCCACCAUUUUUUUCUCUAUUUUCCAUUCACACUUUUAUGAAACUAACAAUCCCCCACAUGAAUGGGGAAUGGCUAUUUUUUGUAAAAAUUUUACGGACAAGAAUAUGAUCAUCAAGCAAAGACUGAUUUCAUCUGGAUAAGUGGGUUUCCCUUUGAACUUUCCGUAGUGAACAUGCAUCAGAUGCACUCGGUAAAUUGAUAGAUUUGAUAUCUUUGAACCGUCGAGCUUUAAUGUACACCUAGACAACACAUAUCACACAACCAUCCUUUUAACAUUUAUGGUUCUUACAAUUUUGUUCUUUUCAUCCAUGAACACGUCCCGGUUUUCAUGAGGGCUUAGAGAAUAGGCCUUUACUAACAUUCUCCUUGAAGCGGCUUUCACUUCACCCUUACAUAGGUGAUUUCUAAACGUUCUAUCCUGCAGAUUAAAAUAUUUGGUCAAAUCUGCCAAAUUUAGAUAAUCAUUAAAAGACUUUUCACCUUAAGUUUUAUCCUAGUUUACUAUACAUUAUCUACAUCAUGAGAAUGGGUUGGGUAAUUGACAAUGUUGAACCUGUCAGACACAACUUUGUUUGAUCUCCUUUAACCUAGUUGGGAUCGCCAGUCUGCUAGGUAGAGUUAUCGCUAUGCUGACUCGUCCUAGGCCUUAAACCCAUUCUCUUGGAUGUUCUUUCCACUCCUUCUCUAGAUAGGCCUUUUGUAAGUGGAUCCGACACAUUAUCAUUUGACUUUACAUAGUCAAUAAUGAUAAUUCCACUAGAGAGAAUUUCCCUAACGGUAUUAUGUCUCCGUCGUACGUGACGAGAUUUACGGUUGUACAUCAUGCUCCCUGCCCUACCUAUUGCCGCUUGGCUAUCAUAGUGUAUACAUACUGGUGCCACUGGUUUGGGCCAAUACAAAAUAUCUCCCAAGAAAUUUCGGAGCCAUUCUGCUUCUUCACCAGCUUUAUCUAAUGCGAUAAAUUCAGAUUCCAUUGUAGAGCGAGUGAUACAAGUCUGUUUGGAUGAUUUCCAAGAAAUUGCUCCUCCACCGAUAGUAAAUACAUAUCCACUUGUGGAUUUUACUUCGUUCGAUCCGGUGAUCCAAUUUGUAUCACUAUGUCCUUCAAGUACCGCAGGAUAUUUAUUAUAAUGCAAAGCAUAGUUUUGAAUGUAUUUUAAGAUACCCCAAAACUCUUUUCAUUGCCAUCCAAUGAGUUUUGUUGGGAUUACACCUGUACCGACUCAAUUUUGUAGUUGCACAUGCUAUGUCCGGUUGUGUACAGUUCAUUAUAUACAUUAAAAAUCCCAAUACUCUUGCGUACUCCAAUUGUGAAUCACUUUCACCUUCAUUCUUUCGAAGUGCAAAGUUCACGUCCAAUGGAGUCAUGGCAAUACCGAAUUCCAUAUCCUUGAACUUGUCAAGUACUUUUUCGAUAUAAUGAGACUGUGACAAUGCUAACCCUUGUGGAUUUUGAUGGAUUCUUAUACCUAAGAUUACAUCUGCAACUCCAAGGUCUUUCAUAUCAAACUUGCUCUCGAGCAUUCGUUUGAUUGCAUUUAUGUCACAAAUAUAUCUGCUGAUGAUCAACAUAUCAUCCACAUAUAAACAAACAAUGACUUGGUGAUUUGGUGUGUCUUUAAUAUAUAAACAUUUGUCACAUUCAUUUAUCUUGAAUCCAUUUGCCAACAUGGUUUGGUCAAACUUUGCAUAUCAUUGCUUAGGUGCUUGUUUUAGUCCAUAAAGUGACUUAACAAGUUUACACACCUUAUUUUCUUUUCCUGGCACCACAAAACCCUCAGGUUGUUCCAUGUAUAUUUCUUCCUCCAAAUCUCCAUUUAGGAAUGCGUUCUUCACAUCUAUUUGAUGGAUUUGAAAAUCAUAUACCACCACCAAGCCAAUUAACAUUCAAAUCGAGGUUAUCCUUGUUACUGGUGAGUAUGUAUCAAAGUAAUCAAGGCCUUCCUUCUGUUUGAAGCCUUUUACUAUAAGUCUUGCCUUGUAUUUGUCAAUUGUACUAUCUGCCUUCAUUUUUCUUUUGAAGAUCCAUUUAGAACCUAACGGUUUAUUUCCUGGAGAAAGGUCAACCAAUUUCCAUGUAUGGUUGCUUAAGAUUGAAUCUAUCUCACUAUUGACUGCCUCUUUCCAAAAGGAUGAGUCUGACGAUGGCAUCGCUUCUUUAAAUAUUUGAGGCUUAUUUUCUUAGAGAAAUGUUACAAAAUCUGAUCCAAAUGAAGUUGACAUUCUUUGAUGUGUACUAUGUCUUGGAUUUUCUUCAUUAUGUACAUUCUCACUUGGUUCAUCUCGAGGUCGCUUAGAUCCUCCACUAAACUGUUCAUGUCUAAUUUUAUACGGGUAAAUAUUUUUAAAGAAUUCAGCAUUGUCUGAUUCAAUAAUUGUAUUUUCAUUAAUAUCCGAAUGUUUGAAUUUAUGAACCAAAAAUCGACAUGCUUUACUACUUUUAGCAUAUCCUAUGAACACACAGUCCACUGUUUUAGGUCCUAUCUUAACCCUUUUAGGUACAGGAACUUGAACCUUCACUAGACACCCCCACACUUUGAAAUAUUCAAGCUGGGUUUCCUUCUUUUCCAUUUUUCGUAAGGAAUUGAUUGUGUCUUACUAUGGAAAACUCUGUUGAGUAUACGAUUGGCCAUAAGAAUAGCCUCCCAUCAUAAGUUUUGUGGUAAAGCAGAACUUAUAAGUAAGGCAUUCAUCAUUUCCUUCAAAUUUCGUUUUUUCCUUUCCGCAAUUCCAUUAGAUUGAGGUGAAUAUGGGGCCGUAGAUUGAUGGAUUAUUCCAUUCUCUACACAUAUUUGCGCAAAGGGAGAUUUAUAUUCUCCGCCCCUAUCACUUCUUAUCAUUUUGAUCUUUUUNNNNNNNNNNNNNNNNNNNNNNNNNNNNNNNNNNNNNNNNNNNNNNNNNNNNNNNNNNNNNNNNNNNNNNNNNNNNNNNNNNNNNNNNNNNNNNNNNNNNNNNNNNNNNNNNNNNNNNUAAACGCAUCUAUUGCUUCAUCCUUACUAUUUAUCGAGUAGACAUAACAGUAUCUAGUGCAAUCGUCAAUAAAAGUUAUGAAAUAUUUUUUCCCACCACGAGAUGGUGUUGACGUUAUAUCACAAAUGUCAGUGUGUAUUAAGUCUAAGGGAUUGGAAUUCCUUUCAACGGACUUAUAAGGAUGCUUUGCAUACUUCGAUUCCACACACGUUUGACACUUUGAUUUAUUGCACUCAAAGUUUGGCAAAACUUCUAAGCUAAUCAGUUUUCAUAACGUUUUAUAAUUAACAUGGCCUAAACAUUCAUGCCAUAAUAAGACUCAAGAAAAUAAGAAGAAUUCAAACUUUUAUUUAUUUCAACAGUCAUUACAUUCAUCUUAUAAAGUCCUUCGGUCAAAUAGCCUUUUCCUACAUACAUUUAUCCUUUGCUAAUUACAAUUUUUUCAGAAACGGUUACACAUUUGAAUCCGUUCUUGUCUAGAAGUGAAACAGAAAUUAAAUUCCUACGUAAAUACGGAACAUACAAGACAUUGUUAAGUGUCAAGACCUUUCCGGAAGUCAUAUUUAAGAAAAUUUUUCCUAUUCUUUCUACCUUAGCCGUAGCGGAGUUAGCCAUGUAGAUCAUUUCUUCUACUUGAGCAGAAGCAAAUAACGAAAACAGCUCCUUGUUGGCACAUACAUGGCGGGUGGCACCAGAAUCCAUCCACCCUUCACUAGGAUUCCCCGUCAAGUUGCAUUCUGAGAACAUAGCACACAGAUCAUCGAAUUCUUUGUUGGAUUCAAUCAUAUUUGCUUGAUCCUUCUUCUUUCCUUUCUUUGGGGCACGACAAUCUGUGGACUUGUGGCCAAUCUUGCCACAGUUGAAGCAUUUUCCCUUGAACUUUUUCUUGGUUUGAUUGCUUCCUUGUUUAGCUUUCUUCCUUUUCUUGAAAUUGUUUUGGUCAUCUUCUACAAUAUGUGCUCCAUUAAUUGUAGAAUUCCUCUUUGACCUUCUUUCGGAAGCUUUAUUAUCCUCUUCAAUACGAAGUCGGACAAAAAGUUCUUCAACAGUCAUCUCCUUGCGUUUAUGCUUUAAGUAGUUUUUGAAGUCUUUCCACAAAGGUGGUAGCUUCUCAACUAUCACUGCUACUUGGAAAUCAUCAUUCACAAUUAAACCUACAAUACAGUUUAUGUGAGUAUUAAGAACAUUUUUAAUUUGUUCAACUAAGGUAUUUUUCAAAGAUAUACCUUCUGCUAAGAGAUCAUGUAUGAUGACUUGCAACUCCUNNNNNNNNNNNNNNNNNNNNNNNNNNNNNNNNNNNNNNNNNNNNNNNNNNNNNNNNNNNNNNNNNNNNNNNNNNNNNNNNNNNNNNNNNNNNNNNNNNNNNNNNNNNNNNNNNNNNNNNNNNNNNNNNNNNNNNNNNNNNNNNNNNNNNNNNNNNNNNNNNNNNNNNNNNNNNNNNNNNNNNNNNNNNNNNNNNNNNNNNACAUAAAGUGGUGAGGUAAAAGAACAUCUUUUGCUGCCACCGCUUGAAGUCAAUGCUUGAAAAUAUUUUGGGCUACUCCGUCAGUGCCAUUGUUGGCGGAGCAUUUGUGUGACUUGAUGUGGCAAUAUUAGUUACCCCCAUAGACGUUGUCGCAUCUAUUAUUUCACUUUCGUUAGUCAUCUUUCCUGUCAACACAAGACAGAAAAAUUUAGUAUUUUCAGAAUAUUACUUAUAAAGUUAAAUAACUUUUCAACUUUUCUUCUUGUUUCUAAUUAACGACGAAGCUUUUAUAACUUCAAAUCGUCAACUGAGUGAACUUUAACUUGUGAUGAAGAUUUUAUGUCUUCUAAUCACUAGUUAAAUUCAAGCGGAGUAAAAAGUUUAAAGCUUUAAUCUCCAAAAACAAGUUAUACAGAUUCUGUAAAAGGAAUUAUUCCUUAAGAUUCUUAUUUUUGUUUUACUUUGGGUACACAGAAUUUGUAUAUGCAGAAACAACAACUUCAACUAAAGUUCAAGUUUAUAAACAAGAACACAAUGAAGUAUAUCAAAUACCCUCAACACAAGAUCAAAAUGACCUUUCCAAGAGGUAUAUUUUAUUUUUUAGAAAAUAGAUGAAACAGAAAUGAAUAAGACCAAGUCGUCCGAAUUCAUGGACUUUUCUUAAGGAUUAAUUCCCCUCACUGUAUCCGAGGUUAUGGAAUCUUCCUCCCAGGAUAAAAUGGCCUUCAAUCCGACUAUAGCGGUACCUCAAAUAGGCGGAUUCUUCGAACACACAGAACGUUUUGAUUGAUCACACAGAAUCUUUGUAAAGAAAAGAAGAGAGUUUUUAUUCUGAAAAUUUUUUAUAUCAAAACCUGUGAAGAAAAGCAUGUUUAUAUAGCCUAGCAGAUGCCUCUUCAAAAAGGUGGCAUUUGUUCACUUAAAUGGUGUGAUGUUUCUGAAAAUGCAUGUCUGCAGCACUUUUACUGAAGCAGUAUACCAUUUCACCAAAUAGUGCACCUGUUCAAAAUAGUACAUCACUUCAUUAAAGAAUUGCAUCUGUUCAGUCGAAGCAAAAACAGUAUAUCAGUUCAGUGCAUGCAUCUGUUCAGUCGAAAAGAAAUAGUACAUCAGUUUAGUCAAAAUAGUGCAUCAAUUCUGUCGAAACAUUGCAUCUGUUACUAUUACUAAAUGCAUAUAAAUGGAGUAUUUAUCAGAUUUCAUCAAAUAAAAUUUAUCCAAAAAGACAGAUAUCAUCGAUCGAUCAUUUUCCAAAUCCAAAUCCAAAUCUGAAGUCGAGCGACCGACGACAACAGUGGCGCGAGGAAUCUCUUAUUUCUUGCCUCACUUAUCAUGUGGAGUAAGUAUUCAGCAUUAUAAACACUCCAAAGUUUCUUUCUCCCACCAAUGUGGGAGAAUUAGUGAACUUUCCAAUUUUGGGAGUACACUUUCCAAAUUGGUGUCUCCUCUUCUCCAUAAUUUUUUUCUCCAUUUUCCAUUCACACUUCUAUGAACCCAACAAUCCCCCAUAUGAAUGGGGAAUAUAUAUUUUUCGUAAAACUUUUACGGACAAGAAUGUGAUCAUCAAGCAAAGACUGAUUCCAUCUGGAUAAGUGGGUUUCCCUUUGAACUUUCCGUAGUGAACAUGCAUCGGAUGCACUCGGUCAAUUGGUAGAUUUGAUAUCUUUGAACCGUUGAGCUUUAAUGUACACCUAGAUAACACAUGUCACACAACCAUCCUUUAACGUUUAUGGUUCUAACAAUUUUAUUCUUUUCAGUCAUGAACACGUCCCGGUUUUCAUGAGAGCUUAGAGAAUAGGCCUUUACUAAUAUUCGCCUUGAAGCAGCUUCCACUUCGCCCUCACAUAAGUGAUUUCUAAACGUUCAAUCCUGUAGAUUAAACUAUUUGGUCAAAUCUGUCAAAUUUAGAUAAUCAUUAAAAGACUUUUCACCUUAAGUCUUAUCCUAGUUUACUAUACAUUGUCUACAUCAUGAGAAUGGGUUGGGUAAUUGACAAUGUUGAACCUGUCAGACACGACUUUGUUUGAUCUCCUUGAACCUAGCUCUUGGGAUCUCCAGUCUGCUAGAUAGAGUUACCGCCACGUUGACUCAUCCUAGGCCUUAAACCCAUUCCCUUGGAUGUUCUUUCCACUCCUUAUCUAGAUAGGCCUUUUGUAAGUGGAUCCAACACAUUAUCCUUUAACUUUACAUAGUUAAUAGUGAUAAUUCCACUAGAGAGAAUUUCCCCAACGGUAUUAUGUCUCCGUCGUAUGUGAUGAGAUUUAUGGUUGUACAUCAUGCUCCCUGCCCUACCUAUUGCCGCUUGGCUAUCACAGUGUAUACAUACUGGUGCCACUGGCUUGGGCCAAUACAAAAUAUCUCCCAAGAAAUUUCGGAGCCAUUCUGCUUCUUCACCAGCUUUAUCUAAUGCGAUAAAUUCAGAUUCCAUUGUAGAGCGAGUGAUACAAGUCUGUUUGGAUGAUUUCCAAGAAACUGCUCCUCCACCGAUAGUAAAUACAUAUCCACUUAUAGAUUUUACUUCGUUUGAUCCGGUGAUCCGAUUUGCAUCACUAUGUCCUUCAAGUACCGCAGGAUAUUUAUUAUAAUACAAAACAUAGUUUUGAAUGUAUUUAAGAUACCCCAAAACUCUUUUCAUUUUCAUCCAAUGAGUUUUGUUGGGAUUACUCCUAUACCGACUUAAUUUACUAAUUGCACAUGCUAUGUCUGGUCGUGUAUAGUUCAUUAUAUACAUUAAACAUCCCAAUACUCUUGCAUAUUCCAAUUAUGAGUCAUUUUCACCUUCAUUCUUUUGAAGUGCAAAGUUCACAUCCAAUGGAGUCUUGACAAUACCGAAUUCCAUAUCCUUGAACUUGUCAAGUAAUUUUUUGAUAUAAUGAGACUAUAACAAUGCUAACCUUUGUGGAUUUUGAUGGAUUCUUAUACCUAAGAUCACAUCUGUAACUCUAAGGUCUUUCUUAUCAAACUUGCUCUAGGGCAUUCGUUUGGUUGCAUUUAUGUCACAAAUAUCUCUGCUGAUGAUCAACAUAUCAUCCACAUAUAAACAAACAAUGACUUGGUGAUUUGGUGUGUCUUUAAUAUAUAAACAUUUGUCACAUUCAUUUAUCUUGAAUCCGUUCGCCAACAUGAUUUGGUCAAACUUUGCAUGCCAUUGCUUAGGUGUUUGUUUUAGUCCAUAAAGUGACUUAACAAGUUUACAUACCUUAUUUUUUUUUUCUGAAACCAUAAAACCUUCAGGUUGUUCCAUGUAUAUUUCUUCCUCCAAAUCUCCAUUUAGGAAUGCGGUCUUUACAUCCAUUUAAUAGAUUUGAAGAUCAUAUACCGCCGCCAAGGCAAUUAACAUUCGAAUCAAGGUUAUCCUUGUUACUGGUGAGUAUGUAUCAAAGUAAUCAAGGCUUUCUCUUUCUGUUUGAAGCCUUUUACUACAAGUCUUGCCUUGUAUUUGUCAAUAGUACCAUCCGCCUUCAUUUUCCUUUGGAAGAUCCAUUUAGAACCUAACGGUUUAUUUUCGGGAAGAAGGUCAACCAAUUUCUAUGUAUGGUUGCUUAAGAUUGAAUCUAUCUCACUAUUGACUGCCUCUUUCCAAAAGAAUGAGUCUGACGAUGGCAUCGCUUCUUUAAAUGUUUGAGGCUUAUUUUCUUAGAGAAAUGUUACAAAAUCUGAUCCAAAUGAAGUUGACGUUCUUUGACGUGUACUACGUCUUGGAUUUUCUUCAUUAUGUACAUUCUCACUUGGUUCAUCUCGAGGUCGUUUAGAUCCUUCACUAGACUGUUCAUGUCUAAUUUAUACGAAUAAAUAUUUUUAAAGAAUUCAGCAUUAUCUGAUUCAAUUAUCGUAUUUUCAUUAAUAUCCGGAUGUUUGGAUUUAUGAACCAUAAAUUGACAUGCUUUACUAUAUUUAGCAUAUCCUAUGAACACACAGUCUACCAUUUUAGGUCCUAUCUUAAUCCUUUUAGGUAUAGGAACUUGAACCUUCGCUAGACACCCCCACACUUUAAAAUAUUCAAGUUGGGUUUCCUUCCUUUCCAUUUUUUUUAAGGAAUUGAUUGUGUCUUACUAUGAGGAACUCUGUUGAGUACACGAUUGGCCAUAAGGAUAGCCUCCCAUCAUAAGUUUUGUGGUAAACCAGAACUUAUAAGUAAAGCAUUUAUCAUUUCCUUCAAAGUUUGGUUUUUCCUUUCCGCAAUUCCAUUAGAUUGAGGUGAAUAUAGGACCAUAGUUUGAUGGAUUAUUCCAUUCUCUACACAUAUUUGCGCAAAGGGAGAUUCAUAUUCUCCGCCCCUAUCACUUUUUAUUAUUUUGAUCUUUUUGUCUAAAUGAUUUUCAACUUCAGUUUUAAUUGCCUAAAUGCAUCUAUUUCUUCAUCCUUACUAUUUAGCAAGUAGACAUAACAAUAUCUAGUGCAAUCGUCAAUACAAGUUAUGAAACAUUUUUUCCCACCACGUAAUGGUGUUGACUUCAUAUCACAAAUGUCAGUGUGUAUUAAGUCUAAGGGAUUAGAAUUUCUUUCAACGAACUUAUAAGGAUGCUUUGCAUACUUUGAUUCCACACACGUUUAACACUUUGAUUUAUUACACUCAAAGUUUGGCAAAACUUCUAAGUUAAUCAAUUUUCGUAACGUUUUGUAAUUAGCAUGGCCUAAACGUUCAUUCCAUAAAUCAUAACACUCAAGCAAAUAAGAAGAAUUCAAACUUUUAUUUAUUUCAACAGUCAUUACACUCAUAUUAUAAAGGCCUUCGGUCAGAUAGCCUUUUCCUACAUACAUUUCUCCUUUGCUCAUUACAAUUUCUCCAUAAAUGGUUACACAUUUGAAUUCGUUCUUCUCUAGAAGUUAAACAGAAAUUAAAUUCCUACGUAAAUACGGAACAUACAAGACAUUGUUAAGUGUCAAGACCUUUCCGAAAGUCAUAUUUAAUCAAAUUUUUCCUAUUCUUUCUACCUUAGCCGUAGCGGAGUUAGCCAUGUAGGGAGCGAAUGACGAAAACAACUCCUUGUUGGCACAUACAUGGCGGGUGGCACCAGAAUCCAUUCACCAUUCGCAAAGAUUCCCCAUCGAGUUGCAUUCUGAGAACAUAGCACACAGAUCAUCGCAUUCUUUAUUGGAUUCAAUCAUAUUUGCUUGAUCCUUCUUCUUGCCUUUCUUUGGGGCACGACAAUCUGUGGACUUGUGGCCAAUCUUGUCACGGUUGAAGCAUUUUCCCUUGAACUUUUUCUUAGGUUGAUUGCUUCCUUAUUCAGCUUUCUUCCUUUUCCUGAAAGUAUUUUAGUCAUCUUCUACAAUAUGUGCUCCAUUAAUUGUAGAAUUCCUCUUUGACCUUCUUUCGGCAGCUUUAUUAUCCUCUUCAAUACGAAGUUGGACAAUAAGAUCUUCAAUAGUCAUCUCUUUGCGUUUAUGCUUUAAGUAGUUUUUGAAGUCUUUCCACAAAGGUUGUAGUUUCUCAAAUAUCAUUGCUACUUGAAAAGCAUCAUUCACAAUUAAACCUACAAAAUAGUUUAUGUGAGUAUUAAGAACAUUUUUAGUUUGUUCAACUAAGGUAUUUUUCAAAGAUAUACCUUCUGCUAAGAGAUCAUGUAUGAUGACGUGCAACUCCUGUACUUGAGAGACAAAAGAUUUGCUAUCUAUUAUUUUGAAGUCCAAGAACUGUGCAACAAGAAAUUUUUUAAUUCCCGCAUCCUCCGUCUUAUAUUUUCGUUCAAGCGCCCCCCACAGUUCCUUUGAUGUCUUGGUUCCACUAUAAACAUUGUAGAGGUCGUCUUGGAAACUACUCAAAAUAUAAUUCCUGCAAAGAAAGUCCGAAUGUUUCCAAGCUUCUACAAUAACGAAGCGUUCUUUGUCCGAGGUUCCCUCGGGCACCUCAGGAGCGUCUUCGCUAGUGAACCAUUGCAAACAUAAAGUGGUGAGGUAAAAGAACAUCUUUUGCUGCCACCGCUUGAAGUCAAUGCUUGAAAAUAUUUUGGGCUACUCCGUUGGUGCCAUUGUUGGCGGAGCAUUUGUGUGACUUGAUGUGGCAAUAUUAGUUACCCCCAUAGACGUUGUCGCAUCUAUUAUUUCACUUUCGUUAGUCAUCUUUCCUGUCAACACAAGACAGAAAAAUUUAGUAUUUUCAGAAUACUACUUAUAAAGUUAAAUAACUUUUUAACUUUUCUUCUUGUUUCUAAUUAACACUGAAGUUUUUAUAACUUCAAAUCGUCAACUGAGUGAACUUUAACUUGUGAUGAAGAUUUUAUGUCUUCUAAUCACUAGUUAAAUUCAAGCGGAGUAAAAAGUUUAAAGCUUUAAGCUCCAAAAACAAGUUAUACAGAUACUAUAAAAGGAAUUAUUCCUUAAGAUUCUUAUUUUCGUUUAUACUUCGGGUACACAGAAUCUGUAUAUGCAGAAACAACAACUUCAACUAAAGUUCAAGUAUAUAAACAAGAACACAAUGAAGUAUAUCAAAUACCCUCAACACAAGAUCAAAAUGAUCUUUCCAAGAGGUAUAUUUUAUUUUUCAGAAAAUAGAUGAAAGAGAAAUGAAUAAGACCAAGUCGUCCAAAUUCACGGACUUUACUUAAGGAAUAAUUUCCCUCAUUGUACUCGAGGUUAUGGAAUCUUCCUCCCAGGAUAAAACGGCCUUCAAUCCUACUAUAGCGGUACCUCAAAUAGGCGGAUUCUUUGAACGCACAGAACGUUUUGAUUGAUCACACAGAAUAUUUGUAAAUAAAAGAAGAGAGUUAUUAUUUUGAAAAUUUUUAUAUCAAAACCUGUGAAGGAAAGCAUGUUUAUAUAGCCUAGCAGAUGCCUCUUCGAAAAGGUGGCAUUUGUUCACUUAAAUGGUGUGAUGUUUCUGAAAAUGCAUGUCUGCAGCACUUUUGCUGAAGCAGUAUACCAUUUCACCAAAUAGUGCACCUGUUCAAAAUAGUACAUCACUUCAUUAAAGAAUUGCAUCUGUUCAGUCGAAGCAAAAACAGUAUAUCAGUUCAGUGCAUGCAUCUGUUCAGUCGAAAAGAAAUAGUACAUCAGUUCAGUUGAAAUAAUGCAUCAGUUUUGUCGAAACAUUGUAUCUGUUACUGUUACUAAAUGCAUAUAAAUGGAGUAUUGAUCAGAUUUCAUCAAAUAAAGUUUGUCCAAAAAGAUAGAUCUCAUUGAUCGAUCAUUUGACAAAUCCAAAUCCAAAUCCGAAGCUGAAGCCGAGCGAACGAUGACGAUGACGACGCGAGGCAUCUCUUAUCAUGUGAAGUAAGUAUUCAUCAUUAUAAACACUCUAAAUUUUCCUUCUCCCACCAAUGUGUGAGAAUUAGUGAACUUUUUAAUUUUGGGAGUACACUUUCCAAAUUGGUGUCUCCUCUUCUCCACCAUUUUUUUCUCUAUUUUCCAUCCACACUUCUAUGAACCCAACAAUCCCCCACAUGAAUGGGGAAUGACUAUUUUUCAUAAAUCUUUUAUGGACAAGCAUGUGAUCAUCAAGCAAAAACUAAUUCCAUCUGGAUAAGUGGGUUUUCCUUUGAACUUUCCGUAGUGAACAUGCAUCGGAUGCACUCGGUCAAUCGGUAGAUUUGAUAUCUUUGAAUCUUCGAGCUUUAAUGUACACCUAGACAACACAUAUCACACAACCAUCCUUUUAACAUUUAUGGUUCUUACAAUUUUGUUCUUUUCAGCCAUGAACACGUCCCGAUUUUCAUGAGAGCUUAGAGAAUUGGCUUUUACUAACAUUCUCAUUGAAGCAUCAUCCACUUCGCCCUCACAUAGGUGAUUUCUAAAUGUUCAAUUCUGUAGAUUAAACUAUUUGGUAAAAUCUGUCAAAUUUAGAUAAUCAUUAAAAGACUUUUUACCUUAAGUCUUAUCCUAGUUUACUAUACAUUGUCUACAUCAUGAGAAUGGGUUGGGUAAUUGACAAUGUUGAACCUGUCAGACACAACUUUGUUUGAUCUCCUUGAACUUAGCUCUUGGGAUCUCCAGUCUGCUAGGUAGAGUUACCGCCAUGCUAACUCGUCCUAGGCCUUAAACCCAUUCCCAUGGAUGUUCUUUAGCCUAGUAGAUGCCUCUUCAAAAAGGUGGCAUUGGUUCACUUAAAUGGUGUGAUGUUUCUGAAAAUGCAUGUCUACAGCAUUUUUGCUGAAGCAGUAUACCAUUUCACCAAACAGUGCACCUGUUCGAAACAGUGCAUCACUUCAUUGAAGAAUUGCAUCUGUUCAGUCGAAACAGAAAUAGUAUAUCAGUUCAGUGCAUGUAUCAGUUCAGUCGAAAAGAAAUAGUACAUCAGUUCAGUCAAAACAGUGCAUCAGUUUUGUCGAAAUAUUGCAUCUGUUAUUGUUACUGCAUGCAUAUAAAUAAAGUAUUAUCGAAAAAGAUAGAUCUCAUCGAUCAUUUUCCAAAGCCAAAGCCGAGCGAGCGACGACGACGACAGAGCGAGGCAUCACUUAUUUCUUGCCUCACUUAUCAUGUAGAGUAAGUAUUCAUCAUUAUAAACACUCCAAAGUUCCUUUCUCCCAGCAAUGUGGGAGAAUUAGUGAACUUUCCAAUUUUGGGAGUACACUUACCAAAUUAGUGUCUCCUCUUCUCCACCAUUUUUUUCUCCAUUUUCCAUUCACACUUCUAUGAACCCAACAACUUAUACAUAAUAAAGUUAUAUAUUAUGUUAAACUAAUGGUUAUAUCAUUUAAUUUCAUCUAUGUUGAGUUAUUUAUAUUUGGAAAUGAAAAAUAGGUUUGAAAAUAAUUAUUUUAUAAGAAAAAUCAUUAAUUUUAAAUGUCCAGUCAUAACAAAGAGGGGUUCACUAGUUUAAUCUUCAAAAUAAAAAUAAAAAUCUGAAAUAAUCGAACCGAAUUUGUAGAAACCGGACCGAACCGAAUUUAUUUCGGUUUGAUUACGGUUGUCAUUUUUGUCAAUUCAAAAAUCGAAAAACCAAACCGAUAUUAAACUAUCAAACCGAACGAACCAAAUGUCCAUCCCUUCUUCCCAGGGGCGAACCUACGUAGAUUCAAGUGGAUUCAUAUGAGCCCACUUCGUCGAAAUAUCACACCGUAUGUAUCAAUGUUUGAAAAUGUACAAGAUAUAUAUUAAUUUUUUAACCCAUUUUAAAUAGCUCAGCCUAGUGGAAAGGCGGGUUCAAGAUUUUUGAUAGGUCAAACUUUCCGACACCAACAACCUUUUUGUUAAAUGUCAGAUAAUUUUUUCUUUCUAAUUUUUUUUUAUUAUAAUAUAACUUUAAAAUUUAUUUAAUCAAAAUUUGUUUAUUUAUUUCUCUGGGUAUUCAUUUUUUAUAUAUUUGAACCCACUUUCCUGAGCAGAAUCUAUGUUGCUAUUAUUGUAUAUUUGAACCCGCCACUGGUACUUGCUAUGUUCAGACUACAAAACAUAUUGGUGUUCCCUUUUAACUGAAAUGUCAUUGCUCUAGUAGUAAAAGGUCAAAGUCAUCAAUAGACACUCAAACUUAUUGUCAAAAUUCACUUAGACACCUAAACUAAGGCAUGUUCCUAUCAGGCCCCUAAACCCCCCACAUUUUGUUCAAAUUGGGUUUUUUUUGCCCUAUCAGCAAAAAACUCAAAGUGUGUUGCACACAAGCGAUGACAUGGCAAAAUGAGCUAAUUAGAAGCUGACACGUGGCAUUAUGGGUCCAAUAAUUAUUAAAAAUUAAUUAUAAUUUUAAAAAAAAAAAGUAUAUACAAAUGGCAUUGAAUAAAUUAUUAAAAAAUAAUUCUAAAAUUAUUUAAAAAUAAAACUGAUUAUUUAAAAAAAAUUAUAAAAAUUUUCUAAAAAUGAAAUAAAUUAUUAAAAAAUUAUUUUAAAAAACAAUUAAUUAAUAAGAAAAAUUAUAAUUUUUUUUUAAAAAUGGCGAGGAUAUAAAUUAUGAAAAAAUAAUUAUAAAAUUAUUUGAAAAAUAAAAAUAAAAAAUUAAUUAUUUUAAAAAAAUAUAAAUUUUUUAAAAAAUGAAAUAAAUUAUUAAAAUAUUAUUUAAAAAAUAAAAACUUAAUUAUUAAAAAAAAUAAAAUUUUUUAAAAAUUGAAAAUGAAAAAUGGCAUAGAGGAUAUAAAUUAUGAAAAAAUAAUUAUAAAAUUAUUUUUUAAAAAAACUAAUUAUAAAAUUAUUUUUUAAAAAAACUAAUUAUUAAAAAGAAAUCUUAAAUUUUUUUAAAAGAUGAAAAUAAAGAAUUAAUUUUUUUUAAAAUUCAGUUUAUUAAAAAUAAAAUAAAAUUGGGGCCUUCUAAUGCUUUUUGGGGCCUUUAGUGUUUCAAAAAAAAAAGAAAAUUUGUUAUUAAAAAAAUUUUGGGGCCCUCAAUGCCACUUGACAACUUUUUAUUCGUAAAUUAGUAAAAAAAAAUGCUCCUCACACGCCUUCCACAAUGGCACUGCACACGUAGUGUCACAUAGGCAAAAAAUGUCUAAUUGGAACAAAAUUCAGGGAUUUAAUGGUCUGAUAUGAACAUGUCUUAGUUUAGGGGUCUAAUUGAAUUUUUGCAAUAAGUUUGAGUGUCUAUCGAUGAGUUUGACCUUUUCAAAUUGACACAUGCGUAACCAAUUCUCUAAAUACCAAUUAUUUCUCCUUCAAGUGAUGUCAUCUUCCACAUGGUGGACCCCAUGAUCCUAAGAAUUAUUUAAAAAAUAAAAAAAUAAUUAUUAAAAAUAAAUUAUAAAUUUUUUAAAAAAAUAAAAAUCCCCCACCUAUCCCAGCCCCCAACGUAUUGUUUUAUUAAAAAAAAAAAUUGGAACCCCCUAAUGCUUUUUGUUUUAUUAAAAAGUGUCUUUAGUGUUUAAAAAAAAAUUGUUAUUAAAAAAAUUUUGGGGCCCUCAAUGCCACUUGGCAUCUUUUUAUUUGUAAAUUAGUAAAAAAAAUUGCUCCUCACACGCCUCCCACGAUGGCACUGCACGCGUAGUGCCACAUAGGCAAAAAAGGCCCAAUUGAAACAAAAUGUGGGGGGUUUAGGGGUCUGAUAGAAACAGGCGUUAGUUUAGGUGUCUAAGUGAAUUUUGACAACAAGUUUGAGUGUCUAUCGAUGUCUUUGGCCAGUAGUAAAAUAAUAUGAUGAUCCUCUUUCAUUUCUUGAUAGAAAAAUGAGGAAUCAUGUAAUAACAUCAUAUCGUUCAACAUUAUUCUUUGCACUAAUUUUGAGUAUUAUGUUAAGGUUUUUAAACUGAUUUUCUUAUCAAAAUUAAGUUUUACUUUUUUCUUGUAAGGAAAAUAAAAGUAAUCAUAAAUAUUUUUACUUUUCAUAAAAGAAAAUAUAAAACUUUUUCAUAUUUGGCAAACCUCUUUCUUAGAGGAAGGUUUUGGACAUCUAUAAGAAUUAAGAUCCCCUCUUCAUACCAUAACAUUGUAACAUUCUCAAUGUAGUCAUUGAAGAGUCUUUGUUUAUGAGUGAUUUCUCUCAAUAGGUUUAAUGUUUUUCGAUAUUAGGUUUUAUAAUAUGCAGGCCGAUUGGCCAAAACAUAUAAUAAUUUUAUGUUUUUUAAUAUUGUUUUCUUUGUCGCCUGAUUUAUCAUCUCAUAGUUUGCAACUAAUAGCUUCCGCAUGACAUCCUCUCGUUUUUGAACCCAACAAAUGGUAUCAGAGUCGAUGGUUCAAAGAUCCGAUGGUUCGAUUGAGGACUUUUUAAGAUCAAAGUUGCAAUCAAUUUGGCGAUGAUGAAGCUUUUGUCAAAAAAAAAAAAAAAGGUUCAAAAACUACAUGUGGAGAAAAAGUUUCAAACAAAAUUUCAACAAUCUUGGUGCUAAUCCAUCUUUAAAACCAAAAUCAAUUUCAACUCAUAUUUAUGACUUCAAUUUUCAAUCUAUACUUGCUUUAACGCUUGGGCUCCUUUCAACUCGUGCAUUUAUUUUUAAUGCAUGAGCUCCACUCUUAACCUGUGCUCACUUUCAAUGCACAAAGUUCUACUUUCAAUCUUAUCAACCGUGCUUUUAUUUUUAAUGCAUAGGACUCUAAUUUUAACCCAUAUCAAUUUUUAAUCAUGGUUGACAGCAGUGAUAUAUGAAGAAUAUAUGAAAAACGAAGAUCAUGCACAAGAAAAAGGAGGAUCAAGAAUAUUUUGCAGAAAAUCAAGCAAAAAAGGGAGAUUUGUUAGGGUUUUUACUCUAAUUUUCUUACCAAAAUUAAGUUUUACUUUUUCUUAUAAAAAAAUAAAAGUAAUCAUAAAUACUUUUAUUUUUGUUAAAAGAAAAAUAUAAAACUUUUCUAUAUUUGGCAAACCUCUUUCUUGGAGGAAAGGUUCUGGACAUUAGGAUACUCUUCUCAUGCCAUAAUACGGUAGCAUCCACAAUGUAGUCAUUGAAGAGUUUUGUUUAGGGAAAUUUAAUGUUUUUUCGAUAUUAGAUUUUAUAAUAUGCAGGCCGAUUGGCCAUAACAUAUAAUAAUUUUAUACUUUUUAGUGUUAUUUUCUUUGUCACCUGAUUUAUCGUCCCAUAAUUUGCAACUAAUAGCUUCCGCAUGACGCUCUCUCGAUUACGAUCCCAACAUAUUGUUUCUUGAGAAUUAAUUGAAUUCCAUAAGUUCCUCCGGUCCGUAAAUUUAAGUUUUAAGAUUUUAACAGCUUUAUAGUUUUUCAGUUACCAUAUCCCAAAAUGUAGCUCCGGUCGUUUCUGCUAUGCUCUUUUUUUUUUUUUUUUCCUUUGGUAUGAAAGUGGCAAUAAAUGAUUCAUGUCUUUUGAAAGUGAAACUAAGAACUAGACCGUCAUUGGAAAAUAACAAACAUUUAUUCUAUUGUCAACUCACUCACAACAACUUUGCAAGGCCAUCAAACAAUCAAAUUUUAACAAUUAUAUUAUGAUAUUCAUUUUCCGGGAACAAAGUUUGUGGCGUAGGCCCAGGCAUUGUUGUUAACCGGAUCUGCUAGAUGGUCAGCAAGGUUCUCCAAUGGACCCUUUCCUGUAACAAUGGCCUGAACAAAGAAUCCAAACAUAGAGAACAUAGCAAGUCUACCGUUCUUGAUCUCCUUUACCUUGAGCUCAGCAAAUGCCUCUGGAUCAUCAGCAAGACCCAAUGGGUCAAAGCUGCCACCGGGAUAGAGUGGGUCGACUACCUCACCAAGAGGCCCACCAGCAAUACGGUAUCCCUCAACGGCUCCCAUCAAGACAACUUGGCAAGCCCAGAUGGCCAAGAUGCUCUGUGCAUGGACCAAACUUGGGUUGCCCAAGUAGUCAAGUCCACCCUCGCUGAAUAUCUGGGAUCCAGCCUUGAACCACACAGCCUCACCAAACUUGACACCAUUACGGGCCAAGAGCUCGGGGAAAACACAUCCAAGAGCACCAAGCAUAGCCCAUCUGCAGUGGAUCACCUCGAGUUCACGGUUCUUGGCAAAGGUUUCUGGGUCUGCUGAAAGUCCAGCGGUGUCCCACCCGUAGUCACCGGGAAAUUCACCGGUCAAGUAGCUUGGAGACUCACCUGAGAAUGGACCCAAGUACUUGACACGGUCUGGCCCAUACCAUGGGCUGCCAGAUGAGGCUGGCUUGGAGACAGCCUUUCUCAUAGAGAUCCUUCCAUUUCCAGUGAUUUCUGAGGCAGAGGGUGAGAGUUUCACUGCCUGUCCAGCAAAAGAAGGUGAAGAAAGUGCCAUUGUAGAAGCUGCCAUGGCUUAUCAAGAGAAAAGUAAGUGUUUGAUGGUAUGAAAUAUUGUUGAAGUUGGCUGUGAUGAGGUGAAGUUAAUUACAAGGGGCUUCACCAUAUAUAGGAGGAGUAAGAGCGGUAGAGGCCUUUAUCUAACGAUAUCUACAUCUUUUUCUUUUGGUGUUAACGAUAUCUGUAUCUGUGAUCUCAUUGGGUAAUAAGAUCACAUGUGUAGAAAUUAAUGCACACUUGGCAAUCUCCAGACUCCAAUCCAUCAAUUUUCCAAGAUGUUUACUAAAAGGACCCAUCCAAUAUUGUCCGCCUUAGUGUGGCUACGAGGUUAUUGACUCUAUUCUGUGAUUCGUUGAGCUUACACUAAGAUAUCUCUUAUCGUUAUCUUUUGGGAAUUUCUCCAGAUUUUAUCCACCAGCUGGGAAUAAGUUACCACCACUAUAGCUCAUUCAAUGUAGAAGUAGAAGUUAGAACUAUGGUUUAGCGUUGCACUAAAUAAAUAGUAGAAAAGCUGAAUUUUUCAGAUUAUCAGUAACUAAUGUCUAUCAAAAGAUUAAUUUGAAGUAAUUGCUUAACAAGCAAAAGUGGAUCAGAAUUUGAACUUUCAUGGGUUCUGUAGUCUAGGACGAGUUCUACUAAAUAGAUUCCAAAUUUAACUUUUCUACAUACUCGCUCCGUCCCAUUUUACCCGUCCCAAAUUGGCUAAGUUGAUGUUUCAUUUUAGUUGUCCCAUUUUACUUAUCAAGAUAAGACAAACUUUUCUUUCCAUGUUUUACCCUUUGCAUUAAUUAUCUUUUCUUUAAAUUAAAAUGUAAACAUCAUUUAAUAGGGGUACUUGGGUAAACUAGCCAUGUUAUAUAUUAUUUUUCUUAAUUGUUGUGCCAUCCUAAUUUGGGACAAGUAAAAUGGGACGGAGAGAGUAUUUAAUAAGCUUAUCAAAACAUAUGCAUGGUUUGGGCCAAAGUUAGUUAGUUCUGUCAAACUGGUUUGCUGAAGGCUAUCUGCGCAUGUUAAUAAGUGAUAUGAUUGUGUUAUGUGCAAGUAUUUUUACAAUGUCAAUGCAUAACCUCUCUAUAGUGUCCUGUAUAGCUUGUAUCUUCUGCUUACAAUGUCCUUUUGGCUCUGGUCAUUGUUAUGUGAACGUGUUCUUCUCUAAAGAGAAUACCACAUGCACGUAAGGAUGGAGGACUAUACAAGAAACUCAUGAAUUUGUUCAAAUCUAAGAUGCUGCUUAAAUUAAGGACACAUAAGUAUAAUGGCCUGGAAACUCAUAUAUUACUUGCUACGUUCAAAAUACAAAACAUAUACAUUGGUUUUCCCCUUAUCAUUAAAAUGUCAAUGGUGUACGCAGUAGUGAAAUAAUAUUAUGUCCUCUUAAUUCAUCUCACUUCUCGACAGGAAAAUAAGGAAUCAUGUAAAUAACAUCAUGUUGUACAUUGUUAAUCGUGGCACUAAGAGUAUUGCUUCUUGAGAAUUAAUUGAAUUCCAUAAGUUCCUCUGGUCUGUAUAUUCAAAUUAUAAGCUUUUUGUCAAAAAACAAAGGGAGCGGUAGAGUUAAGCUACAAGGAGAAAAAUAUAAGGAAAUUGCAGCUGUAAAUUGCUACAAAAAAGACUGCAGUAAAGAACAAGAAGCUGAAACUUUUUGAGUGUUUUCUAUUUUUUGGAUAGUUAUAAAUGUCUAAUGUCAUCCCUUAUUUAUACUUAUGUAGGGAUGAUUCUAGAUACUACAAAUCUAGAGUGUUCGUAUACAAAUAUCUCCCUCAAAUAUCUAGCACCCUCUAGAUCUUUCCUAAAUAUAAAUAUCAAAUAUACUACACUAUUCCUUUCUAGAUUCUUCUAACUAGAAUUACCUAAAUAUCUAGAUAUUUCUUUAGCAUGAUCAUCCUAGAAAUUUUACUAGACUAUUCUACAGACUGAACUAGAAAUCUAUGAUUCCAAAAAAUCUACUUUAAUAUUUUCACACUCCCUCUUAAAGUGAUUUUUUUGGAAGCUAUCCUAAACUUGUUGCGGAAGAACUCAAGUGAAGCUUUGAACCGUACUUUAGUGAAAAUCUUGAUAGUUUUUGCAUGACUCCUCUUUCUUCUUCAAAUGAUGAAGAUUUCUCGUUAAUGAUUGGCCCUUGUUGAGUUUUAUCAUAUUGAGUUCUCGAGCUCCCCCUUUCUCUGAACUCCUCCGUAACUUCAUUAUCUGGUGACCCAAAUAUGAUGGAAAAGUUUGAAACUCUAGGAUUGAAGAUUUUAGAACUUACUCUUUCUGAAGCAACUCCAUAACACAAGAAUAAUUUUUUGGUAUCAACCUCCUUAUUUGAUUUGAUGACGAUCUUUUGUUCGGGCCUAUCAACUAGCUCCCAAGUAUUAUUUUUUUAUCAUGGCAAGCUCCUCAUCCAUUGCGGAAAUCCAAGUUUCAUGACUUCUGCUUCUUCAAAAGAAGAUGGUUCCACAAGAGCAAAAUUGCAUUGCUCAUAAACUUCAGGUAGUGACCUGGUCUUCAAAAUAGGAGAAUCUGAAGUUAAUUCAACAUCUGAAUUGUCUUCUUUUUCAAUAAGAGGAUUGGAAGAAAUAUUACACGUCUGUGGAUUUUGAGCUGCAACUGAAGUACACUCAUCUUGGUUCUUUACAACAAUAUCUCGAUCCUAAUCAUAGUGGCUAGACUCAUCCACCGCAAGAUCUCUACUGAUAAGCACCUUUUACGCACGAACAUUAUACACUUUCUACCCUUUUGCAGCUGUGUUAUAGCCCAACAAAAUACAAAGUCCUGCCUUGUUAUCCAAUUUACCUCUUUUAGCAUCAGGAACAUAUGCAUAACAGACUGAACCAAAAACUUUUAAGUGUCUCACAGAUGACUUUAUACCUUUCCAUGCUUUAAAUGGUGUCAUGUCUUGGAGUGCUCUAGUUGGUAAUAUGUUUAGUAAAUAGACUGCAGUACUGACUGCCUCAGCCCAAAAACAUUUGGGUAUCUUCUUUUCUGCUAGCAUACAUCUCACCAUCUCCAUCACGGUUCUGUUCUUUCUCUCAGAAAUACUGUUUUGUUCUGGAGUGUAGCUCACAGUAAAUUGUUGUUGAAUGCCCACAUCUUUACAAUACUUGUUGAACUAAUGCGGAGUAUAUUCAGUUUCAUUAUCUGACCUGAUAUACUUCAAUCGGCAACCACUCUUCCUUUCUACCAUAGCCUUGAAUUCUUUGAAAACAGAAAACACCUGAACUUUGUUACUUAAAAAUAGACCUAUGUCAUUCGAGUUAGAUCAUUUAUAAAGAGAAUAAAAUAUUUAUUCCCACUCAAAGAAGUUGUCCUCAUUGGUCUACAUAUAUUUGUAUGAACCAACUCUAGUUUUUCCUUCGUCCUCCAAAGACUUCUUUUAGGAAAGAAUUAUUUAUGCAAUUUACCAAAUUGACAUGACUCACAAACAUCUCGGCACAUGUCAAUUUUGGGUACAUCAAGCACCAUACCCUUGGAUUGCAUAUACACCAAUGAACUAAGAUUGUAAUGACCGAAUCUUUUGUGCCAAAGCCAAAUAUCAAUUAUUUCAACAUUGAAAGAGCAACUUUCAACAGAAUAGCAUGAAAUUGGAAAGGAAUUACCAAUCAUGCUAAUUUUAGCUACUUCACAACCUUUAGGAUCAUAAAUGACACAUUUUUUAUCCUUAAAAAUAAGUGAAUAAUUAUUGUGAAGUAACUGAGCAACACUCAACAAGUUUUGAGUCAAGCUUGGCACAUAAAAAACAUCGUUUAUGAUUUUCAUACCUUCGUCCGUAGGAAAUUUCACUGAUCCUCUUCCUUGAGCUUGCACCAGUGCACCAUCUCCUAGCUUCACUUUGAUCCUAUCAGACCUGUCCAGGCUAACAAAUAGAUUUUCAACAAUCGUCAUGUGCCUUGUGCACGCACUAUCGACAUGCCAAUUAUAUCGAUCGACAUGUGAUAUGUGUGAAGCCAUGAAUACCUCUUCCUCUAUUUUUUGAACUUGGUGAUCUUCCGCAAAAUUUACUCAUUGAAAAGACUGACCAAUUUGAGUUUGCUUUUGCCUGCAAUGCUUCUCAAUGUGCCUAUACUUCUUGCAGUAUCUGCAUUGAAUAGGAGACCUCUUGGACUUCUGCCAACAAUUUUUCUAUAAGUGGUUUGUCUUCUUACAAAUACCACAAGGUGGAAAUUUUUCUCUCCUCAACGAUUCACCUUGGUAUCCACCAGAUUUCACCUCUCCAGAGUGGUCUAAAAAGACUUUUUUGCCUUCUUUUUGUUGCUUGAAAGGCAUAUUCGACUGUUCCUUCGAUUCUCAUAGUUACCCAUUGCUCUUGGAUUUGCAAUUUAGAGAUCAACUCAGCUAUUGAAAGAAUAGUCAAGUCACAGGACUCUUUAAUAGCUGAGAAUUUGUAUUUAAACUUGUCUGGAAAGCUGACCAUAAUCCCCUUUAUAACCUUCUAAUCUAAAAAGUUUUCACCAAGUAUCCUUAUGUGGUUCACAAUAUCCAUUAGCUUAGAAGAGUAUUCUUUUACACUAUCCGGAUCCUUCAUCUUCAAGAGCUCAAACUCCCUCUUCAAAGCUAAAACCUUAACAGACUUAACUCUGUUGCUGCCUUCAAACUCCUUCUUUAGCUUAUCUCAGGCUUCUUUAGCUGUCUCACAAGCCAUAAUCCUUGUAAAUAUCACUUCCGUAAGGGUUGAAUGUAUGCAAGUGAGUGCUCUUGGAGAUCUAGUCACCAAUUCAUCAUACUUUUUGAUAUCAUUUAGAGUUGAGUUGUCUCUCAAUGGCUGGACAGCAGGUUCUCCUCUCUAAACAAUAUCCCACAAGUUGAGAGUCUUCAAAUAAGCCUUCAUUUUAAUGGUCCAAAUAUGAUAAUUCUCCCCCGAAAAAAUCGAAGGACCCAUUGUUGGUUGAUUUUCUGGUGCCAUGUUUUUUCAGUAAAUAGAUUCAAGAAAGGAGCUAAAAAUAAGAUGAGUCAAUCAACAAAAAACAUAUUCAGAUCCCGUAAGAAAUGGGCUCUGAUACCAUGUCAAAAAAUAAAGGAAACGGGGAGAGUAAAGCUACAAGGAGAAAAAUAUAAGGAAAUUGCAACUGCAAAUUGCUACAAAAAAGACUGCAGUGAAGAAGGAGAAGCUGAAACUUUUUUAGUGUUUUCUAUUUUCUAGAUAGUUAUAAAUGUCGAAUGUAAACCCUUAUUUAUUCUUAUGUAGGGACGAUUCUAGAUACUACUCCCUCCAUCCCAUUUUACCCGUCCCAAAUUGGGAUGGCACAGCUAUUAAGAAAACAAUGAUUGGUAAUGUUACUUUACCAUUUUUUCUCUCUUAAUUGUGUCUUGUUGUUAGUUCCAAUAUUGAUGGAUGACCAAUACAAAAGCACCAUUUAUAUUCUUAAUGGUGUACUCCUAAUGGUACUCUUCUUUGCAACGUUUUUCAAAAAUGUUAAUAACAAGGAGUAAGCAAUUACACUGAGGAUAAAAUGAAAAAAAAAGUUGUCUUAUCUUGAUAAGUAAAAAAGGACAACUAAAAUGGGACAUCAAAUUAGAAAAUUUGGGACGGGUAAAAUGGGACAGGGAGUACAAAUCUAGAGUGUUCUUAUACAAAUAUCUUCCUCAAAUAUCUAGCCCCCUCUAGAUUUUUCCUAAAUAUAAAUAUCAAAUAGACUACACUCUUCCUUUCUAGAUUCUUCUAACUAGAAUUACCUAAAUAUCUAGAUAUUUCUUCAACAUGAUUAUCCUACAAAUUUCACUAGACUAUUCUAGAGACUUAACUAGAAAUCUAUGAUUCCAAAAAAUCUACUUUAAUACCAUCACACUUUUACCACAUCCAAAAUGUAUCUUGGGUUUUUUUUUUUUUUGGCUUUGUCAUCGAUUUUUCUCCCCUUGAUAUGAAACUGGCAGUAUUUAUUCAUGCCAUUGGAAAAUGAAAUUCAGGACUACACAAUAACUGGAAUAUAAGAAAAAUCCAUUCUAUUGUCAAGUAAACUCACAACUACAACUUUACAAGGGCAUCAAACAAUGAAAUUUUAAGAUUGUUUUACGAUAUUCAUUUUCCGGGGACAAAGUUUGUGGCGUAGGCCCAUGCGUUGUUGUUAACUGGAUCUGCAAGGUGGUCAGCGAGGUUCUCCAAUGGACCCUUUCCGGUAACAAUGGCCUGAACAAAGAAUCCAAACAUAGAGAACAUAGCAAGUCUACCGUUCUUGAUCUCCUUUACCUUGAGCUCAGCAAAUGCCUCUGGAUCAUCAGCAAGACCUAAUGGGUCAAAGCUGCCACCAGGGUACAAUGGGUCGACUACCUCACCAAGAGGCCCACCAGCAAUACGGUAACCUUCAACGGCUCCCAUCAAGACAACUUGGCAAGCCCAGAUGGCCAAGAUGCUCUGUGCAUGAACUAAGCUUGGGUUGCCCAAGUAGUCAAGUCCACCCUCGCUGAAGAUUUGGGAUCCAGCCUUGAACCACACAGCCUCACCAAACUGGACACCGUUACGGGCCAAGAGCUCGGGGAAAACACAUCCAAGAGCACCAAGCAUAGCCCAUCUGCAGUGGAUCACCUCGAGUUCUCGGUUCUUGGCAAAGGUUUCUGGAUCUGCUGAAAGUCCAGCGGUGUCCCACCCGUAGUCACCAGGGAAUUCGCCGGUCAAGUAGCUUGGGGGCUCACCCGAGAAUGGGCCCAAGUACUUAACACGGUCUGGGCCAUACCAUGGGCUUCCAGAUAGGGCAGGCUUGGAGACAGCCUUUCUCAUAGAGAUCCUUCCAUUUCCACUGAUUUCUGAGUUAGAGGGUGAAAGUUUCACUGCCUGUCCGGCAAAAGAAGGGGAAGAAAGAGCCAUUGUAGAAGCUGCCAUGGUUUAUCUCAAGAGAAAGGAGAGUAUUUGCUGGUUUGAAAUAUUGUUGAAGUUGGCUGUGAUGAGAUGAAGUUACAAGGGGCCUCACUUUACCAUAUUAUAGCAAGUAAGAGGGGAAGAGUCCUUAUCUAGUGAUAUCUAUUUCUAUGAUCUCAUUGGGUAUCAAGAUCCUUUGUCUAGCAAUUAAUGCACACUUGGGUAUCUCCAAUCCAUCAAUUAUCCAAGAUGUUUGCUAAGGGGACCCAUCCAACAUAGUCCUCUCACAUGUGGCUACAAGGCUUGAACAAUAUUCUGUGAUUUGCUGAACUUACAAUGCUGAUAUCUCUUAUCAUAAUCCGUUGAGAAUUGCUCCAGAUUUUAUUUAUCAGCACUACAGCUCAUUCGAGGUAGAACUAUGGUUUACCGUUUCACUAAUUAUAUUCAGGAAAGUUCAUUACUUGAUAUAUAAAUUGUGUAAAAAUUAAUAAUACAUGUUUGGAACUUUAUUAUAUAAGACCUUAAUAUAUAGUAAUAUAAGAGUCAGUAGCAUAGUAAAUUAUUUAACCUGCAAUUCAUAUAAAAGUGAAGAUACUGUUUUGGGGGUUUUACAAAUUUAAUAUUUACAGGUGCAUGCAAAGCAAGAAUAUGAUCUUCCCUUUCAAAACAUUUAACAUAGGUUCAUGCUUGGAUCUUUAUUAAUCUGAUCAUGAAGAGGUAUAUUAAGUUCUAUAUAUGUUGCACUGUUAAUUUCAUGUUUAGAUAUUUAAUGACGGGUUAGAUUCAUUUUAACUACUGCACAGUGCUUAGACUAAUUGGAAAGAACUUGUUCAUGAGCGGGGGUUGGCAAACGGGCGGGUUGACUCAGAUAUAAACAAAUCAAAAAUGAGCCAACAAAAAUGGAUAAAAUAUCCGACCCACCUGUAUUUGAUAUGGAUGAAAAAUGAGAAACCAACGGGAUAUUAUUUCAUAUUAUGUAAAAGAAAUAAGUACUUCCAAUAUGAGAAAGGCAGAGUAUGUACAUGGAUUAAUUAAUUAAUUGGGAUUCACCAGCAGCACAAUAUGACCAAUUAAUUGUGUUAAGGGCAGGAACAUUUGCCAAUAAUGGAUCAGGUUAUUUACGGGUUUGGAUAAAAGGAACUUUAACUUGACACCAAAUUAUAACUAUGUGCUUUUAACUUUGUUAGUACACAAGUAGACCCUUUAACUAUAUAAAAAUCAAAUAAAAAAAUAGUCUAAUUCAGCAACUUACAUGCGUAAAAUUCAAUCACUCCUACGUGGAUUAAUAAUCCACUCAGAUGCUGCCACCUAAUAAAAAAGACGCAUUAUAACUAUGAUCAUUAACUUUGCGCACAAAUAGACGCUUUAAUUAUACAAAAGCUGAAAAAAAAAACACUUCAAUUUUAACUCUGACGCUCGUGAUUUUGAGUGUAUACAUGCAUUUUGCCAGGUUACGAUUGGAGUGUUUGUUUGUUCAACUUUUGUAUUGUUAAAGGCCUACUUGUACAUUGAUAAAGUUAAAGAUCAUAGUUAUAAUUUGAUAUCAAGUUACAUGUUUAUGUACUGAGUUUAAGUUCUGUGCACCGUCAGUGCACAAAAUAUUUUAUACUAUCAGUUAACUUGACCUGCUAUUGCAGGUUACCCAAUUAUUUAUAUAAAAAUUUAAAAAUAAAAAAUUGUUAUUGCAGGUUACCCAAUUAUUUAUAUAAAAAUUUAAAAAUAAAAAAUUAGAUAACCUGCAAUAGCAAGUCAAGUUUACCUAAUAGGAUAGAAUAUUUUGUACACUGAUGGUGCACAAAACUUAAAAAUUUAGGUAUUAUGCCUAUUUACAACUUAUGGAGUAAAUAUAAGUUGUAAAUAUUCUCUUUUUUCACACAGUAAUUUUUAACUUGUAAUAGCUGAUAAGUCCCCGUUGUUACAAGAAACUUUAAGAUUUUUUCCAAAGAUGCAUCAAAUUAAGGACAUAAUUAUAAUGGUCUGGAAACCUAUAUUAUAGCAUGUUGAUUACUACUUGCUAUACCUUCAGACUACAAAACAUAUUGGUUUUCACUUAACAUUGAAAUGCCAAUGGUCUAUAUGGUAGUGAAAUAAUAUUAUGUCCUCUUAAUUGCUCUUUCACUUCCCGAUAGGAAUCACGUAACAACAUCUAUGCUCAACAUUUCUCUGUGCACUAUUCUCUGUGCACUAAUUUAAUGUGUUCCUUCCUGGGAAUUAAUUGAAUUCCAUAACUUCCUGUGGUCAGUAAACUUAAGUUUGAAGCUUAUAACAGCUUUAUAGUUAUUCUAGUUACCACGUCUCAUAUUAAUCUACAGUUUUUCUUUACUAUGUUCUCUUUCUUUAAUUCCCCUUUAGUAUGAAAGUGGCAAAAAAUUUUAUUCAUGACUUUGGAGAAUGUAACUCAGAACUACACAAUUAUUGGAAUAUGAGACAAAAAUCCAUUCUAUUGUCAAGUAACUGCUCAUAACAACUUUACAAGACCAUCAAACAAUGAAAUUUUAAGAUUGUUUUACGAUAUUCAUUUUCCGGGAACAAAGUUUGUGGCGUAGGCCCAGGCAUUGUUGUUAACCGGAUCUGCUAGGUGGUCAGCAAGGUUCUCCAAUGGACCCUUUCCUGUAACAAUGGCCUGAACAAAGAAUCCAAACAUAGAGAACAUAGCAAGUCUACCGUUCUUGAUCUCCUUUACCUUGAGCUCAGCAAAUGCCUCUGGAUCAUCAGCAAGACCCAAUGGGUCAAAGCUGCCACCAGGGUAUAGUGGGUCGACUACCUCACCAAGAGGCCCACCAGCAAUACGGUAUCCCUCAACGGCUCCCAUCAAGACAACUUGGCAAGCCCAGAUGGCCAAGAUGCUCUGUGCAUGGACCAAACUUGGGUUGCCCAAGUAGUCAAGUCCACCCUCGCUGAAUAUCUGGGAUCCAGCCUUGAACCACACAGCCUCACCAAACUUGACACCAUUACGGGCCAAGAGCUCGGGGAAAACACAUCCAAGAGCACCAAGCAUAGCCCAUCUGCAGUGGAUCACCUCGAGUUCACGGUUCUUGGCAAAGGUUUCUGGGUCUGCUGAAAGUCCAGCGGUGUCCCAACCAUAGUCACCAGGGAAUUCACCGGUCAAGUAGCUUGGGGGCUCACCAGAGAGUGGGCCCAAGUACUUAACACGGUCUGGGCCAUACCAUGGGCUGCCAGAUGAGGCAGGCUUGGCAACAGCCUUUCUCAUAGAGAUCCUUCCAUUUCCAGUGAUUUCUGAGGCAGAUGGUGAGAGCUUCACUGCCUGUCCGGCAAAAGAAGGGGAAGAAAGAGCCAUUGUAGAAGCUGCCAUGGCUUAUCUCAAGAGAAAGGUAAGUGUUUGAUGGUAUGAAAUAUUGUUGAAGUUGGCUGUGAUGAGAUGAAGUUACAAGGGGCCUCACUUCACCAUAUUAUAGUAAGUAAGAGGGGAAGAGUCCUUAUCUAGUGAUAUCUAUUUCUAUGAUCUCAUUGGGUAUCAAGAUCCUAUGUGUAGCAAUUAAUGCAUACUUGGGUAUUUCCAAUCCAUCAAUUUUCCAAGAUGUUUGCUAAAGGGACCCAUCCAACAUAGUCCUCUCACAUGUGGCUACAAGGAUUGAACAAUAUUCUGUGAUUUGCUGAACUUACAAUGCUGAUAUCUCUUAUCAUUAUCCGUUGGGAAUUUCUCCAGAUUUCAUUUAUCAGCACUACAGCUCAUUCGAUGUAGAACUAUGGUUUACCGUUUCACUAAAUAUAUUCAGGAAAGUUCAUUACUUGAUAUAUAAAUUGUGCGGAAAUAAAUAAUACAUGCUUAUGUUUGGAAAGAAAUGCGUUUGGAACUUAAUUAUAUAAGACCUGAAUAUAUAUAAGCAAGAGUCAGUAGCAUAGUAAUUAUUUACCUGCAAUUCAUAUAAAAGUGAAGAUACUGUUUUUUGGGGUUUUACAAAUUUAAGAUUGACAAGUGCAGGCAAUGAAAGAAUAUGAUCUUCCUUUUCAAAAUAUUUAACAUAGGUUCAUGCAUGUAUAUUUAUUAAUCUGAUCGUGAAGAGGUAUAUAAAGUUCUAAAUAUGUUGCACUGUUAAUUUCAUGUUUAGAUAUUUAACGACGGGUUAGAUUCAUUUUAACUACUGCACAAUGCUUAGACUAAUUGGAAACGCGCAGAUUGAGUCGGAUAUGGACAGAUCAAAAAUGAGCUAGUGAAAAUGGAUAAAAUAUCUAAUUCACCCGUAUUGAUAUGGAUGAAACAUGAGAAACCAACGGAUAAUAUGGAUAUUAGUUCAUAUUAUGUAAAAGAAUAAGUACCUCCAAUAUGAGAAAGGCAGAGUAUGUACAUGGAUUAACUAAUUAAUUGGGAUUCAUCAGCAUCACAAUAUGACCAAUUAACUUUACGAGAAUUGUGUUAAGGGCAAGAGCAUUUGCCAAUGAUGGAUCAAGUUAUUUACAUCUUAUGCCUUAUGGUGUAAAUAUAAGUUGUAUAUAUUUUCUUUUUGGCAUGAUACACAAAUAUGAUCCUAAACUUAUAUCAAAUUAUAACUUUGACCUUAAACUUUGAUAGUGCACAAAUAGGACCUUUAACUAUUCAAAAUUUGAACAAAUAUGACCUCCGAUUUUGCAACCUCCAUGCGCGAGUUUCACUCGCGCCUAUGUGGAAAGCUCAUCAAUCACACGGUGCCACGUCGUUAAAAGGGCUGACUUGGAGGGAGGUCAUAUUUGUGCAAUUUUGAAUAGUUAAAGAUCAUAUUUGUGCACUGUCAAAGUUUUGCUUUUUGUGUUAAAACAACGUUGUUUUAUUAUUAUUAUUAUUAUUAUUAUUAUUAUUAUUAUUAUUAUUAUUAUGAAUAUUACUAUUUAUUUUUUUAAUUUUAUUUAUUUAUUUCUAUAGCAGCUAGGGGUGGGCGUUCGGUAUUCGAUAUUCGGUUCGGUAUUUUCAAAUUUCGGAUUCGAUAAUUUGGUAAUUGGUAUUUGAACGUAGAUACCAUAUACCAUACUAAUAAAUAUCGAUUCGGUAAUCGAUAAAUUAAAUUUCGGUUCAGUACGGUAUUUGGUAAUACCAUAUUAAAAUUGAAGAUGUGCAAAUAUACAUUUAAACUUCAAAGAGUAUAUUUAAAAGAAACCCUAUUUAGCAUUAUUUUGUUGCUUUUUACGAAUAUAUUAUCAAGGUCUAAGAGAUUCUUUGAGAUGACUAAUACUAUUGUUUAUUGGGUUGGUUAGACAUAUAGUAUAUAUAUAUAUAUAUAUAUAUAUAUAUAUAAUUCGGUAUUCGGUAUUUACCGAAUACAAAACGGUAUUAAUAUCUUGUACCAAAUUCAAUCCCGAAAUAUUAAAAUUUUAUUCUCAAAUACCAUACCAAAUACAAAAUUUUUUGAUUCGGUUCGGUAAUUCGAUUUUCGGUAUUUUAUGCCUAGCCCUAAUAGUAACAACACCUAACUUUUUUUAAUUAAAAAAAAAAAACCACUAGCAGGGAUCGACCCCACGCAGUAGGUUGAAGGAAGCACCCAAGAAGAGCAAAUAACACCACUGGAUUAUCUAAGUGCAAUGUUUCAUGUGGUUCAACAUUAAUAUACGUACAUAAAUAUAGAUUAUCUACCUUAUAUAUACAACAUAAUUUUUUUACCGAGGGGGUUCGGGUGAAUCCCAUGGCGACCACGUAGGUCCGCCCCUGCGUUAAUUUAAUAACGUUAAUUUAAUAACAUUUUAAUAACGUUAAUUUAAUAUACUACUAUUAUUAUCUUUAAUAACGUUAAUUUAAUAACAUUUUAUUAAAACUAUAAUUUUUUUAUUAUUAGUAUAGUUUCAUCUUUAAUUUAAUAUUUAAAUAAAUUAUAUUUCGAUAUAUUAUAUAACAUAAAUUCUCCCUCUGCUUUAUAAUAUGUAUAUAUACCCGCAAUUUUUUCGUAUGAGGCUAACCCACUUAAUUAAUAAAUCUUCAAUAUUGCACUUUUUCCGCAAUGACAAAAGAAAUUGAAUGUCAUUUUCAUCUUUGAGCUGAAAAUAAUGAAAAAUAAUAGUGAAAAGUCAUUUAAAGAUUAUAUUUGUGCAGUUUUGAAUAGUUAAAAGCCACAUUUAUGCACUCUCAAAAUUUAAGGUCAAAGUUAUAAUUUGGUGUCAAGUUUAGAAUCACAUUUAUGUAUUAUGUCCUUAGAUUUUAAACAGGACGCGCCCAAUUUUGCAUGUUGAACACGCAUUUUACCACAUAGGACCGAAGGUUAUAUUUAUGUAAUUUUAAAUAGUUAAAAAUUAUAUUUUUGCACUAUCAAAAUUUAAGGUUAAAAUUAUAAUUUGAUGUUAAAUUUAAGGCUUUAUGUAUUAUGCCUUUCUUUUUUCACACCAUCAUUAAAUUUUAAGUUGUAAUAGUAGAUAAGUCACCAUUGUUACACGAAACUUUUAGAUUUUUUCCAAAGAUGUUAAUCAAACCAAGGACAUAAUUAUAAUGGCCUGGAAACUUAUAUUAUAGCAUUUUAAUUACUACUUGCUAUACCUUCAGACUACAAAACAUAUUAGUUUUCACUUAUCAUUGAAAUGUCAAUGGUCUAUAUGGUAGUGAAACAACAUUAUGUUCUCUCAAUUGCUCUUUCACUUCUCUACUGGAAACAUAUAAUAACAUCAUAUUGCUCAACAUUUCUCUUUGCACUAAUUUACUGUGUUCCUUCCUGAGAAUUAAUUGAAUUCCACAAGUUGCUGUGGUCAGUAAACCUAAGUUUAAAGCUUAUAACAGCUUUAUAGUUUUUCUAGUUAUCAUAUCUCAUAUGUAUCUACCAUUUUUCUUUACUAUGUUCUCUUUCUUUAAUUCCCCUUUGAGAUGAAAGGGGCAAAAAAUUUUAUUCAUGGCUUUGGAAAAUGUAACUCAGAACUACACAAUUAUUGGAAUAUGAGAAAAAAAUCCAUUCUAUUGUCAAGUGACUGCUCAUAACAACUUUACAAGACCAUUAAACAAUCAAAUUUUAAGAUUUUCAUUUUCCGGGGACAAAGUUUGUGGCGUAGGCCCAGGCGUUGUUGUUAACUGGAUCUGCAAGGUGGUCAGCAAGGUUCUCCAAUGGACCCUUUCCAGUAACAAUGGCUUGAACAAAGAAUCCAAACAUAGAGAACAUAGCAAGUCUACCGUUCUUAAUCUCCUUUACCUUGAGCUCAGCAAAUGCCUCUGGAUCAUCAGCAAGACCUAAUGGGUCGAAGCUGCCACCGGGGUAGAGUGGGUCGACGACUUCACCAAGAGGCCCACCAGCAAUACGGUAUCCCUCAACGGCUCCCAUCAAGACAACUUGACAAGCCCAGAUGGCCAAGAUGCUCUGUGCAUGAACCAAGCUUGGGUUGCCCAAGUAGUCAAGUCCACCCUCGCUGAAGAUCUGGGAUCCAGCCUUGAACCACACAGCCUCACCAAACUGGACACCGUUACGGGCCAAGAGCUCGGGGAAAACACAUCCAAGAGCACCAAGCAUAGCCCAUCUGCAGUGGAUCACCUCGAGUUCCCGGUUCUUGGCAAAGGUUUCAGGGUCUGCUGAAAGUCCAGCGGUAUCCCACCCAUAGUCACCAGGGAAUUCACCAGUCAAGUAGCUUGGGGGCUCACCAGAGAAUGGGCCCAAGUACUUAACACGGUCUGGACCAUACCAUGGGCUGCUAGAUGCGGCUGGCUUGGAGGCAGUCUUUCUCAUGGAGAUCCUUCCAUUUCCAGAGAUUUCUGAGUCAGAUGGUGAGAGCUUCACUGCCUGUCCGGCAAAAGAAGGGGAAGAAAGAGCCAUUGUAGAAGCUGCCAUGGUUUUUCUCAAGAGAAAGGUAAGUGUUUGAUGGUAUGAAAUAUUGUUGAAGUUGGCUGUGAUGAGGUGAAGUUAAUUACAAGGGGCUUCACCAUAUAUAGGAGGAGUAAGAGCGGUAGAGGCCUUUAUCUAACGAUAUCUACAUCUUUUUCUUUUGGUGUUAACGAUAUCUGUAUCUGUGAUCUCAUUGGGUAAUAAGAUCACAUGUGUAGAAAUUAAUGCACACUUGGCAAUCUCCA